CAAUAAAAUGUUAGAGAAUUAAUAAGUUGUGUAUUUUGAUAAAAUUUUCAAAAUAUGAUGACAUUCUUUUUAUUGGUAACAUGAGUUGAUCAUGUUCUAAUAACUGAAAAUAGGUAAUUUAUAGUUAUAAAUUUCUUAAAUUAGUAAAAGAAUUUACGUUAGGAAAAAGUUUAUAUUAGGUAACAGCCUUAAAAUGUAGAAUUAAGGUGUACCUCAAAAGUCCAUCAUAAAAGAUUGUUUUGAUGUUUGACAACCCUCUAAUUGAUCACUCAAACAUCGAGAUGUAUGGAUAUGAAAAAACAAAAAAGAUUUCGAGUCUUAAAAAUUGUGUAUAUUGCAAGACAUUAUUUGGACGGUUCAUUUUCAAGAUUUUCAAGUAUUUAUAGAUCUACUUGAUUUGAACCAUUUUUAGAGUUUAAAAUUUUAUAAUUAGAGAUAAAAAUAGAUUCUCAAGAAUUCUUAAGAAUUUUUGACAACCAAAUUAUAUUUAUGAUAAAAUUUGGCAAUGCGCCUUAAUUUGAUUGUUUAAGGUUGCAAGCUUAUACAAAAUCACACCAUUUAUGUUAUUAUAAGAUGACUCGUCAUUGCUUUAUAAAAAUGAUGUACAAGCAUACUGGGCUAAGAAAAUCGAGUCUACUGUUGGACAGAGAAUUGAGUCUACCGUUAGACUUUACAAAUUAGAAACUAGCGUCCUUCAACAACUCCUAGCGACUGCUAGCGAGUGUUUAAUAAUUCCUCCUUAGGACAAGGAUACUUUCUUCUUUUUCUCCCUCUUUUUGGGGGGCGGUUGUAUCCUACCGGGAGGUCAUAAUUAUUUAUGGCAUUUACGAUGUGAAAUCUGAUAGCUUAGGUGUGUUGCAAUGUUCGGAAUUUUUUUUUUUGAACUUUAACUUGGUCAAUGAAAUAAAUGUAGCCACCUAAUGUUACAUGCAAUGCUCGAGAUUAAUUAUGACCAUCUUGUGUCAAAGGUAAAUGGUCUUGUUAUACGUUUUAUUUUUGAUUGUUUUUUAAAUGUUAACGGUGGGAAGGGAGGGUGGGACAUUAUGUUAAGGCUCUUGGCUCGCUAACCACCUGGCCCGAACUCCUUUCCUAAAUAUUGUUUCAAAAGCGUCUUUAAAGUUGCUUCAGCAUUCGCUUUGGCCUCAUCUAUUUAAAUGAAUCUUCUAUCCAUAAAUAAAUGAAUAAAUUUCUAAAAAUAAAAAUUAAGGUUUUGAUAUAAUUUUUAACACGGUUAAUUUCUAUGUUUUGGUGGGGCCCCUAUUCUUUGACAUCCAUCUUCAAGAUAGAUGUUUAUUGCGUGUGGGGAAGUUAUUGUGGAUGUGGUCCCCUGAUGCACAAAUUACGUUUUCGUCGGUUUGUACACAGACAUGUUUCUCUUUGAUUAAUUGGAUUGCACUGUUAUAUGCGUCUCUUUGAUUCAUAAUAAUGUAAUUUGAUGAAUCAAAGAGAGACAUGUUUCACUGUUAUAUGCGUCUCUUUGAUUCAUAAUAAUGUAAUUUGAUGAAUCAAAGAGAGACAUGUUUCUCUUUGAUUCAUCGGAUUACAUUCUUUUGGUGGUUCAAAAGAAGUUGUUAGGGAUUUUGUAGACCAGUAGGAUAGGGGCAUUUUAGAAUAAGUCUGAAAGAAUUUAGUGAAACAAUGAGAGCAAUAAAAAAUCGUAGAUUUUCAACUCUUGGAAUUUUUUCAGCAAAUUUGGAAUUUUGAUUUAUUUUUAUUUAAUAAAAAAUUGUUGUAUAUAUUGGAGACAUGGCUUAAAAAAUAAGGAUGCAGUUUGUAUAGAAUCGAGGCUCUAAACAAUCCAAUUAGAGCCCACCUUCAAAUAGUGUUGAGAAAUAUGAUUUUAAUAUUGAAAAUCUUUGUGAUAGCCUUAAAAUAUAUUAUCAUCUUAAAUAUAAAAUUUAAAUCUUAUAAAAUAGUGCCGAUCGAGUAGAUGUUAAAUCUAGAAAAGUGAGUAAAAAAAUAUGUUAUAAGAUAUAUUAUUUUCAAAACUUGAAAUCCAUUUUUUUUUCAUGUCUAUGUAUCUUGAUGUUGAGAUGAUCAAUUUGAUGAUAUUUGGGCAUCAAAUAUUGUAUUGUAUAGGAGUAAAAUUUUUGAAGUGAGUUGUAAUUUGAUUGUUUAGAGCUUCAGCUUUAUAUAAACUUUUUUCAAAAACUAAUAUAUAUUUUUUGAUAACAAAAAAAAAAUUGUUUUUUAUAAAUGAGAGAGAACUCAAGAAAAUGGCUAAUCAAAUGUUUCAAGGUAAGGUUUUUUUUCAAAACAACACUACGGGAUGUCAAUUUUCAGUAGAUAUGUGGUUCCGAGUCCGCUGGACGAUCGUAAAAAGUUUUCUUUAUCAAUUAGAGAGUGGUGCACAGCGAGAAGGCAGUCGAAAAAGAGAUUUGAGAGGACGGUGGACAGAGCAGAGAGAUUAAAAUAUUAAGAGAGAAGAUUACAUCUAAAUAAAGAAAGAAAUGUCAACAUCUAGAGAGAGAAAAAAGCUAACAUCUAAAGGCUGAGAGAAAUGUCAACAUCUAGAGAGAGAAAUGUUAAGAUCUAAAGAAGAGAGUGAGGUGGAACAGUAGAGAGAGAGGGGGGGAGGUGGAAAAGUAGAGAGAGAGAGAGAGAGAGAGAGAGGAGGGGAGGGGUAAGAAAGUAACGUACGUUAGACGAGAGGAAGGAGAACGAAACAUAGACGAAAGAAAGUAGAGACGUUACGGAAAGAAACGUAGUACGUAAGUAAGGCNNNNNNNNNNNNNNNNNNNNNNNNNNNNNNNNNNNNNNNNNNNNNNNNNNNNNNNNNNNNNNNNNNNNNNNNNNNNNNNNNNNNNNNNNNNNACGUACGACGUAGAGUAGACGUACGUACGUAGUAGAGUACGAGUACGAGACGACGACGAGAGAGAGAGAGAGAGAGAGAGAGANNNNNNNNGAGAGAGAGAGAGAGAGAUUUUAUUCAAAUCCUAUUACAAUGCAUCCAACAUAAGGAAAAGCACCCAUGCCCCUACCCUGGUUUUGAAAAUUAACCGAGCUCUUGAAGCCGUGAAAUCCCAAAGGCACUUCACACAUUUGUGUGGGUAUUACCAUUACUCACAUGUCUGCCAAAAACUAAACCUAAACUCCGACUCAAAGUCUUCAUGUUGAAAAUCAGGGAUGAAGAGGCAAAAUAAAAAAGUAGAAAUGCAGUACAACAAACAAACAACAUAGAAUAGACAACUAAAGCACUCUACCAGGAUAGCUGGAUGACAUAAGAGCUUGAAAACUACAACACAUCCAUGGAGAUCUUCAGGAUUCAUACACAAGAUUUUCAAAAUUUGGACAGUGGUGCCUCCAAUUCUUCAUUCAUAAUUCCCUCUGCAUGUAAUGGCAAUAAAUUGCUCAAUGCAGCUGCUUAUGUGAAACAAGAACAUGCUAAUAGCCACUUCUUGGGGGGCUAAUGCUGAAUUUCUAGUUGCACUAUCGGAACCUCUCCAUCAAGUUUUCUGAUAGAAAUACCGAAAACGCAAAAGUGUAUAAAACAGGCAUCAUCCUAUUCCAUUUCUCUGUUUACCCCAUUGGUGUCUUCUCCUAGUACUCUCUGAGACUCCUUACCGGGAGAAGCCAUGCAUGAGUCCCAUUUGCCAGUCCACAACGCGAGAGAGAGAGAGAGAGAGAGAGAGAGAGAGAGAGAGAGAGAGAGAGAGAGAGAGAGAGAGAGAGAGAGAGAGAGAGAGAGAGAGAGAGAGAGGGGGGUGGAAAAGUAACAACGUUUGCAAUGGAAGGAGCAAAACAAUGCAGAAAAAUGAGAUUCGGAGAAAACAUGGUCAAUAAGGCGGCCACUUUUGACUAAAAGUUAGACAAUAAGCUGAAUACUUUUAUGUCGUCCUUACGUGUACACGUGCUUUAGUAUGCAUGAACUAUUUUUAAAUUCAAAUGUUUAAUCUCACAAAUUUUAGAGAGAGUUCUUUGGCGUGUUGAAAUUAGAGAGAGUUUUUUGACGUGUAGAAAAUUUAGGAGAGGGUUAGUGCCAUUUAUUAUUUUGAUUUGGAGGCCGUUGAGAGAGAGGGGCAAUUUGCUUUAGAGAGAGAAAGAGCGAGAUUUUUCAUUUCAAUCGAGUUGGGGUCGGGUCGAUUCUGAUCUGGUUUUAAAUUUAGAUUGGGCUUGGGUAAGAAAUAUGGGUUGGAGAGUUGGGACUAACCUAUUGAGGUUGUUAUAAGCUAUCCACCUUAUGCUGUAUAAUUAGGGCGUAUCUUUAAAUUUUGUUAGAAAAUGUAUUUCGGUAUCAGAAACCUUAUGAUGGCAUGAAAAUUCAUGUUCAAUAUUUUAAUUAUGAAAUUUUAAAAUUAAAAAUGGUGCAGAUCGAGUAGAUUUAUAAACAUUUGAAAAUCUUAAAAAUAAAUUGUUUAAAUAACUUUUUACGUGAUGUUUUAUUUUAAAGACUUGAAAUUCUUUUUUUUCUUUGUAUCUAUGUAUCUCACGGUUAAGAUGAUCAAUUGGAAGGUUUUCUCAUUUCAAAACACUACCAUGGGAUUUUUGGCCUGCACGUUACUUCUAUAUUUUAAAGUUACAAUAUAUUUUUUUUGUUCUUAAUUUAUAUAUAAAAGUUUUUAAAAAAAUUAUAUAAUAUUUUUUUCUAAAUUUAUGAAUAAUUUUUUUUUUUUUUUUAAAUAUAAGGUUGCAAUCUUAAAUUCUAGAACUAAAGUGCACCUAAAAAAUCCAUUGUAAAAUGCUGUUUUGAAGUUGGAAAAUCUUUUAAUUGAUCAUCUUGAUAUUGAGAUAUAUGAAUAUAGAAAAUAAAAAUAAAAAUUUGAGUCUCAAAUAUAGUGUAUCUUGCAACACAUUAUCUAGACCUUACACUUUCAAGAUUUUCAUACAUUUAUAGAUCUAUUUAAUUUGAACUAUUUUUAGAGUUUAAAAUUUUUAUAAUGGGAAAGCUUUCUAUACUCCCCCUACAAUAUAGAAGUUCUAUCAUCCCCCUACCAUCCAGCCGUCUAUUUUUUAUCAAGAAAGUCACUCAUUGUUUGAUUUUAAAUCCGAUGUCUCAAAGUAUUUUAUUUUUAGUUUUUUUAAUACAAAUUUUAUGAAUAUGAAAUUUGAUACGUGUUAUCUUCUCAUUGGGACGUACCUAUAAAAAAUAUUAAAAAUAAUUUUCGAUAAAAAAUAAUGACCAAAAUACCCGUUGAAACUUUUAAGGGUAUUUUGGUUAUUUUAUUUUAUUGAAAAUAUUUUUUUUUAUAUUUUUCAUUUGUGCGAGUUUAAUAGAGGAAUGGACAUCCAAAUUUUGGUUUUAAAAUAAUUUAUAGAAAAAAAUUAAAAAUAAAAUAGUGUAGAGAGGUGACAUUGUGAUUGGGGCAAUCUUAAUGCUCCAUUAAAAAAUGAACGGUUGGAUAAAAGGGAGGAUAGAACUUCUAUGUUGUUAAAAAACACACAAAGCUUUUCUUUUUAUAACUAGAGAUGAAAAUAGAUUAGAAUACCAUCUUAAAAUAUUUUAUAAUUAGAGAUGAAAAUAGAUUAAAAUGCAUUCUUAAAAUAUUUUACACCAAAGUACAGUUUAUAACAAUUUUUUUUUUUUUAUUUAACUUAACCUAACAGGUGGACCUACCUUAACUCACACUCAAACCAGCCAAUUCACACCACACCCCUAGAGAGAGAUUUAAAUAGAGAUUCCUCAACCUAACAUUUGGACCUACCUUUAACUCACACUCAAACCAGCCCAUUCACACCACACCCCUAGAGAGAGAUUUAAAUAGAGAUUCCUCAUUUUUGCUUUGGACUUUAGAGAGAAAAUGGCGGGGAGGGGGUCGAAUUUGUCUCUUUUUAGCUUUGGACUCUCUAAGUGAGAGAAAGGAGGGGAGGGGGUAAUCUAGUCGGCCGAGUUACUUGUUCUCGAGCCGUAGUCUUCAAACCCGAGUUUUCUCGCGUUGGAAGCUUAACAUGGGGAUCGUUCAAAAAAAUAGAAAAAAUGAUAAAAAAAAAUAAGAAAUAUAUUUCUAAUCUAUUUAUUUUUAUUUUCUAUUAUUUUGACAAAAACUGGAUAGUAUUUUAGCUUGUUUUUACAUUUUUUAUUUUUUAAAAAAAAUUCUAAAAAUACCCAUCAUAAACUCAUUUUUUAAAAGGUACAGUUUGCAUACGGAUGCAUCCGUAGCUGUAGAGGUAAGAUGCACCAGCAAAUUUUAUCAUGGUAUAUAAUUUUGAUGUAAAAUAUUCUUAAGAUUAUCUCAAAAUCUAUUUUGAUAUCUAAUUAUAAAAUUUUAAAUUUAAAAAAUGGUUAAAAUCAAGUAGAUCUAUAAACAUAUGAAAAUUUUGAAAAUAGACGGUGUAGAUAAUAUGUUGUAAGAUGCAUUAUUUUUUAGACUUAAAAUCUUUUUAUUUUUCAUGGUCAUACAUCUCGAUGUCGAGAUGAUCAAUCAAAAGGUUUUUCAACAUUAAAACAAAUUUUUCCAAUGGAUUUUUGAGGUGCAUGCGUUGCGAUAGAGGUAAAGUUGCAACCUUAUAUAAACUUUUGUUUUUUUUUUAAUAUAUUGUUUCAAUACCUUUUUUACUACAAUUAGUUUUGUCUCGUUAAAUUUUGCUUUAAAUAUAUUUUUAAUUUUUAAAAUUAUAUCGGACAAGAACUCGAGCAGUGUGCCAUAGCUGACCGUAGGAGCUUUCCCUGUCCUUGUUGUGUGUAGUCAAAAGAGGACCACGGAAGCCUUGAAUGGCCCUUCGAACCUGCUUCGCUUCUGCAUUCUUUUCCAAAACAAAUGACGGCAACCCUAAAGAACCAAAAAAUAAUUAUAAAAAAAUAUUGAAAAAAAAUAACAAAUUCACAGAACUUCUUUUGGUCAGAUAGGGCUGCAGCCCUAUCAAAAUAAGGAAAGCCUCAUUUUAGCACUCCCCGCCUUAUCUGACGACGUCUCUUUUGCCACGUUUCAUAGACCGCCGUCCACUAAAUCCUAUCCCUAAAUACCAUUGAAAGGCACUAUUAGUAUUGCCACCCAUCAUUUCGGUGCCAUUAUGAAAGAUUGAGUGACUAAUUGGAAACGUAUGACACGUGACAAUUACAAGGAAUUAGUAUUUGAAAAUCGCUAAUCCAAACUGAGAAUAAUUAGGACCAAACUAAUUUUGAUAAGGUAUCGGUAUCGGUAUCGGUAUCGGUCUCGGUCUCGGUCUCGGUCUCGGUCCGAUCUCCCUCAAAAUUCUCCUUUUAUAAUUUUUUCUUUUUUUUCUUUAACUUUACCGAAUGUUUUUUUUAGUUCUUUUCUCAUUUUUAGCCUAUAAACCUUUAUUUUAAUUUUAAUUUUAUUUUAUUUAAUAUUUUUAGAUCACCAAUUCAAUCCGAUAUGCUCUUCACUGAUCUAGGAAUCCAAUACGGUGUGUGGGGUAGACAAUCCACCCCACCGAUCUGAUUUUUGAAACAAUGUAGAGGAAUUUUAUUAUCUACACCACUAUUUCUGCCAUUCCCACCCAAAACUUGGGUGGAAAAUAAAAAGCGCCCCAGGGUCAAAAGAGCCUCUAAGAGGAAUUUUUUUAUCUUAAAAUUUUGGAUUAAUCUUAAAAUCGCAAGGUGAUUGCUUUAAAUAAAAAAUAAAAAAUUGAAGGGUCUUUGAUACUUAGGUCUUUAAAAUUAAGGUCUCUUUACUUAAUCUUAAAAUUACUCUUUACGACUUUUACCUAAGGGGAAAUAUACUAUGCUCCGCAGGGAGAAUAUUUACAUAUAUCCUCUCAACUAGAAGACCUACUUGGAAGAAUUUUUCAAUUUGAAAUUUCUGAGAACCUCUAGUAGCCCUAGAUGAUUAUUUCGAAAGAAGAAUUUUGAGUUGUUAAACUUUUUCUAUUGAGGUUCUUCUUUAGCUUACAGGUUACAUCCACAAAACUUAAGGCCCUGAUCGUAAAUUAGGUUUGACCCGAGGAAGUAAAUGGACAACAUAUUCAUGUAGGAAAGCACUUUGCAAUGCUUAUGGAUGAAAUUAUAUAAUGAUUUUGCUUAUAGGCUCGUUACCGUCCAUUUUUCACAAACGGUGAGGAUGCGGCACCGUACCGGCUCUAUUAGAGCUGUUGCGGUGCCAUUACAGACAUAACAUAUCAAUAACGGGCCUUGAACGCAAUGGCUCUAGAGUGAAAUAUUGUACACUUUUGCCUAUAGGUACAGUUUCGAAAGGUACGUGGGGAGGGCAACAGGGNNNNNNNNNNNNNNNNNNNNUUUUUUUGGACAGCGUGGAUUAAAAGACCACAAUGUACAUAACAUGUAUGUGACGGUAUUUUUUUCAUGCAAAAAAACACUAGAAACCGCCACGGCUCUCGUAGAUCCGUGUCGGUUUUAAAUCAAAACUGCUGUAGACAUUGACGGGGUGAAAUUUUAUUCAAUUUCACCUACAAAUGUUUUUAAAGAUUUUCGUGGUCGGUUGGGGGAUUCAUCCUAAAAAGUUCUCUUUUCAUAUAACUAAACCCAUAAUUAUAAAGGUAUCACCAGGGCUAUAUAAAAUUGUAUCAAUGUACGCAGGUGCUUAUUGCAAAAUCGUUGAAAAGGAAGAGAGAUAAAGAAAGAGAGGGAAGACCAAACUCUUAUGACACGAGAAUCGAAGAGAGAGACCAACCCUCUUCUCACUCUAUAUAAGAAACCUCAGCUCAAAGCCCCAAAGUUCUCUUUUUGGCAAAAGGUAUCGCCCUACAAAGCCUACCACUCAGGACCCAGACCGAGCCAUGUCACACCCUGACGAGCCCAGCCCUGGCUCGUCCAAGGCUCGAAGCCCGGCUCCAUUUUUGUUGAAAACAUAUGAUUUGGUAAACGACCCUGAAGCCAGGGAUAUUAUCUCAUGGAACCACGAGGGCACCGGGUUCGUAGUGUGGAUGCCUCAGGAAUUUUCGCAGAGUUUGCUGCCCAAAUAUUUCAAGCACGCUAAUUUCUCAAGCUUCAUUCGCCAGCUUAAUACCUAUGUGAGUAUGAUGGAAAAUCAGUUUUAAAUUACUUUUAAAAAAUAGGAGUAAAUGAUAUAAUUAUGGCCUUCAUUUUUUUUGGUUUUCAUUGUUUUUUGUACCUCUCUCUCAAGCUUUUCUUGGUUUGCAUUUAUUUGUUUGUUCUCUCUCUCUCUCUCUCAUCAUUUCUUGGUUACAUUCAUUUGUUUGUUCAUCUCUGAAGCAUAAACAUAUCUUGGUUUUGUAUUCAGUUGUAGUCUCUCUCUCUCUCUCUCUCUGCAUAUAAAGUUAUAAGCGCAUCUGGGCUUUGCAUCAUUUGUGACUGAUUUGCGUAUGGACCCCAAUUUUUUAUCUAAAAUAUAAAUAGGACUAUUUUAGGUGGAAAUUAUCAAUUAAUCCACAUUUUUUCUAUUCUUUUCAAAAUUACCUUUUAGUCCGAGGAUGUAAUCUUUGGACCUCAUUUUACAUUUUUUUUUUUUUUGUUAGUAUGGUAGUAUCCCAAAAUUUAGGGGGACGUGCCUUUGCGGUCUAAGGCAAGAAUCCUCAGACCGCCCUCUGGACUGCAUAAGCCUUAGUUCCUUAGUAAUUUAAGGUCCGUAUUUUAAUUUUAAAUUGUUUUUUAAGAUUUUUCAUUAGUAGGAUAGUACCCCAAGCUUUAGGGGCAGUGCCCAUGCAUUUUGAGGUGUAGUGGACCGACAUUCUUUAUAGUUUUCACAAUAAUUGGAUCAUUUCAUAUUUUAGAUAAUUAUUUUGGAUCACUACGUAAUUUACUCUUCAUUGGUUGGUUUCUCUGUCUCUUCCUAUUGGUUUUGAAUUUAUUUGUUGGUUCGUCUCUAUCUAUUAUCAUUUUCUUACUUUUCAUUUAUGCUUGUUCCUCUCUCUCUAAAGAAAUUCCUUCAUAAAUUUGACUUGUUUGUUUGUUUCUCUCUCCAAGAGCAUUUCUUGGUUAAUGUUUUUUCUUUCUUAUUUUUUGAGUUUUUUUGCCUUUUGCUUUUUUGUUGAGUCUCUCUUUCCGACCUCUUUCCUCCUCUCUGGUUUGAAAUAUUCUCUCCAUCCUUUUUUUCUACUUUAAAUUCUUUUUUUUAUGGCACAUUUGGUUUUGUGUGAAAAUAUUUUUAGAUGAAAAAAUUCUCCAUCCAUUUUUUCUACUUUAAAUCCUUUCCUUUACGGCACGUUUGGUUGUGUGAAUAUAUUUUAAGAUGAAAAAAUUCGCUUGUGUUCAAAUGUGAAAAUAUUUUUAUAUCAAUUGGUUUUAGUGUAUCUUUUCACACCAAUUGACAUUUAAUUGAUAUAAAAAUAUUCUCACACUUGACAUGUGAAAAUAUUUUUUAGAGGAAUGGUCACAAUCAUCUUGUAUUAUACGAAAUAAUUGCAAAAGAAAGGAAAACAACAGCAAUAAUUUUUAGAACUAUAUUAACUGAUUUGAUAAAAAUCAUAUAUCUUGUUUGUUAACAGCUAGGAUUAACAUCAUAAAAGGAGUAACCUCAUUUUGAUUAGCUUUCGUAUUGUACAAACUAAUUAUAUACAUAAAUAAAUUACAAUAAAUGCUAUUAUAGAGGCACGAUACAAGUUCGAUAGUGAUACGCUUAUACCAAUAUAAGUGUCAAAAGCAUUAACCUCAAAAUUAGUUUACGAGGCAUGUCAAUUUGUACACUAUUUCAUAAAAAGAGGAGGUGGCAUUUAAACAACAUUAAUGACUUUUGCAUUGAUAUUUCAAAAAGAAAUUGUGAGCAACAUCGUCCAGUUUUUAAAAUGUCAAACAUAAAAUAUGAGAAAAAAUCAUCCACGUGUAUCCACAUUGCAGGGGACACGUGAAAUUACAAAAACUAACAAGUGCCAAGAUAUUAAUGUGAUGCAUGCCUGCAUCCAACCAUGUGUAUGAUCAUAUCACAAGGUCAUUUGUCUAUAUAUAUAUAUAUAUAUANNNNNNNNNNNNNNNNNNNNNNNNNNNNNNNNNNNNNNNNNNNNNNNNNNNNNNNNNNNNNNNNNNNNNNNNNNNNNNNNNNNNNNNNNNNNNNNNNNNNNNNNNNNNNNNNNNNNNNNNNNNNNNNNNNNNNNNNNNNNNNNNNNNNNNNNNNNNNNNNNNNNNNNNNNNNNNNNNNNNNNNNNNNNNNNNNNNNNNNNNNNNNNNNNNNNNNNNNNNNNNNNNNNNNNNNNNNNNNNNNNNNNNNNNNNNNNNNNNNNNNNNNNNNNNNNNNNNNNNNNNNNNNNNNNNNNNNNNNNNNNNNNNNNNNNNNNNNNNNNNNNNNNNNNNNNNNNNNNNNNNNNNNNNNNNNNNNNNNNNNNNNNNNNNNNNNNNNNNNNNNNNNNNNNNNNNNNNNNNNNNNNNNNNNNNNNNNNNNNNNNNNNNNNNNNNNNNNNNNNNNNNNNNNNNNNNNNNNNNNNNNNNNNNNNNNNNNNNNNNNNNNNNNNNNNNNNNNNNNNNNNNNNNNNNNNNNNNNNNNNNNNNNNNNNNNNNNNNNNNNNNNNNNNNNNNNNNNNNNNNNNNNNNNNNNNNNNNNNNNNNNNNNNNNNNNNNNNNNNNNNNNNNNNNNNNNNNNNNNNNNNNNNNNNNNNNNNNNNNNNNNNNNNNNNNNNNNNNNNNNNNNNNNNNNNNNNNNNNNNNNNNNNNNNNNNNNNNNNNNNNNNNNNNNNNNNNNNNNNNNNNNNNNNNNNNNNNNNNNNNNNNNNNNNNNNNNNNNNNNNNNNNNNNNNNNNNNNNNNNNNNNNNNNNNNNNNNNNNNNNNNNNNNNNNNNNNNNNNNNNNNNNNNNNNNNNNNNNNNNNNNNNNNNNNNNNNNNNNNNNNNNNNNNNNNNNNNNNNNNNACUCAAUACAACACAUGCUAGAAGGUGCGAGUUAGUUUAAAUGGAAAGAUAAAAAGAUGCACGAGUAAAAAAAAAAAGAUACGGGACCUAUUGCCUCACUGAGAGUAUGACCCUUAAUGGAGUAGAAUGACGGGUCAAGAUUUGUGUAACUAACCCCAAUUAAUUGGAAAAAGAUUUUGAUGAUGGUGAUGAUGAUGCACAUAUAAAACCAUGUAUUUACAAACAUGUAUACGUAUCUCUAUAAUAUAUGGUAAACUAUAGGGAUAUCCACCAGUAAUUCACCGAGGCGAACAGUCGAUGAACUUGAAGAGAGAGAAAAAAAGAGAGCAUAUCUAUAUCGUAUAUAGUACACCCUAGACCAUACAAGAAAAAAAACGUAGGCUACACCAAAAGAUCAUCAAUUCCCAUAAAAGGACACUAGAGAGAGAGAGAGAGUAUACCUUCAGAGAUAGAAAGAUAGAGAAAGAGAGGAGGAUUUAUCAUAUUGCACACUGUACAGUGACAUCCGCCGUCCGUUCUCGGCAUUGGACAAUGUGGUUAAUUAGACACCGUCCAUUUUUGGGUCCCCAUCUUAAGAUACCAACUACCUUACCUACCAUACGCAGUCAGUGUAUGGUGUAAAUUCCCAGUUUGGAUGCCAACAAUCAUACACCACUGGUCCAAUCCGCCACACACCACCGGUGUAUGGUGUACUUUUCAUGUGGGAAAGCCAAUUGAGUGAGUCGGUGAGUUUCAAGGGCACGUGGUCAAAAAUGUUUGAAGUAAAUGAAGAUGCUUUGCAAGUUUUCUAUGGUUGGUAAUUGGAAUGUUAGUUCUAGGGUUUGCUCUCAAGUCUUUACUCUGAAACUCACCUGGUAAAUGCUAAAGCAAUGACUUUUUUUUUUAAUAAAAAAUUCUUUUUUUUUUUUCUUUUUUUAAAGGAAAUUCACCCCAAAAUUUUGGCAACCUCUCGUUGAGAAAACUAUGUCGAAAUUUAGAGGUUGAGAUCAAAAUACCCUAUCCCAUCGAAAUAGUUGGAAAAAAGCUCUAGUGUUUGCAAACUCGGCUGGUACAACUCGAAACUGACUGGUCAAAUCGGAACUGGGCACUAGCCAAUCCAGUUUUGGCUGUUUUUGGUGGUUCGGCCAAAUAUUUUUUAAAAAAAAUCAAAAAAAUUAAAUAAAAUCUCAAAAAAUAAGAGAUUUAUUUUUUUUGUGUUUUAAUUUUAUUUUUUUUUUCAUUUUGGCAAAGAUUGCUAAGUGUUUUGGGCAUGAAUUCUUAUUUUGCAUUUUCACAUAUUUUUAAAAAAUUUCAAAAAUACCCCAGGCACAAAUCGAUUUUCAAUAUCUAUUUUUUUUCAUUAAUUUUCUUUUUCAUUUGGAUGUGUUUAUCAUACUUUUAAUAUACAUUUCAUUUUUUUUAGGUUGUUUUGUAUUUUUUUUAUUUUUUUAACCCUUUUUGGAUCGGUCAAGACCUGCUUUGUUUUUAUCAUACUUUUAAUAUACAUUUCAUAUUUUUUUAUAUUUUUUAACACUUUUUGAACCGGUCAGGACCUGCCUAGUCAAGCAGGUUGAACCAACCCGUUUACCAGUUACUUAGAACCGGCGCCGGUUUCAAAGGCCAGCUCGAUUUUUCGAACACUGUUUCAUAAUACCUUCAACCACCAUAAGCUACAAAGGAUACUUUUUUGGGGAAACUAAAAAAAACUGAAGACAUCCAAACCUUGUUUAAAGGAGUACAAUUUGUAAGCCUAAGAGUGAAGGUGGGCUUCAUAUCAAAAGAGUAUUAAAGACAUUAACAUGUCUCUACUGGUUAAACUUGGAUGAGAAUUGGCAAAUGGAACAGUCCAUAUGGUCAGAUUUGAUGAUGAGAAAGUGCCUUUAGAGACACCAAAUAAGGGUCCCUAAACUCACCAGGAAAGACACUUGGGCCUGGAAAAGCAUAUAUGAAAGACUCUGACUUGUUAAGAGAUAUAGAGAUAUACAAAAGAGUAAACUUGUGGAAGUUCAAUAUAGGCACUAUAACCCAUUCAAGUGUACCUUACCUCCUAACAAAUUGGUCCAAAAAAAAAAUUCACAAAUAAAUAUCUUUUUAAAAAUUUUAAUGUCUUCUUGCUACCAUAUGGGUAAUUUGGCAAGAAAGAAACCGGCGAGCAAAAGAAAAUUUCGAGUUAUCAUUCCAAAGUGCUCUAACAGAGGUAAUUUUGGAAAAUAAAAAAAAGCAUUAGAGAAAGCAUGUUUGUCCCAAUUAAGGAUGAAAGAGAAAUAAUCAUUUAUAGAUGGAAAAUUGACCUCCUAAGGAGUGUGUAAUUUUUCAGUGUGUUUUUUUGUACAUUUUUCACAUACAUGUAGUUAUAUAUUUUGUGUCGGGAGACAUUUAGCCAUCUGAUUUUGAUUAGACAACUAGGAUUAAUGUGAUACUCAUGUCAUAUAUCAAUUAUGACCCAAUAGUUUUAAAAUUUUGAAUAUAUUUUGAUAGGGCACGUGAUGGUGCCAAGUAUGUACACCUAAAAUUUCAGCUUACAUUGGUUUUGUAAAUAAAUAUAAACAUCAAUUUUCAACCAUCUAUCAAAGAUCUAAUGGUUGGGAAGAUAACUUAAGCUACUAUUCAUAUUAGGUAUAACCUAUUAGUAGCUUUAUCCUAUGCAUGCACACUAAGGUGUGGAUUGAGCAUAUCUAUAAAAAUUUGAAAUAUUGAAAAUGGACGCACUACUUUUAAAAUUUGAAAUCCUUCUCUUUUUUCAUAUAUACAUGUCGAAGUCGAGAUGAAAUUGGAGGGUUUUCCAAGAUUAAAAUGACAUUUUUCAAUGGGUCACAUAUCUAUAAAAUGUCAGAAUAUUGAACCUCUCCCUCUGAAUCUUACCAGGGUUUCAAGAAAGCAGCUUCAAACAGAUGGGAAUUCAAGCAUGAGAAGUUUGUUAAAGGUGGGAGGCAUUUGUUGAUGGAGAUCAGUAGAAAGAAGGGGGUCCCAAGUGUUUUCCCAGCCUUUCUAAAAGCAUGUGAUAAUACAAGGGUUUUAGAACAGGAUCUCUUGGAGGAGAACAAGAGUUUAAAGAUAGAGAGAGCUUCAUUGCAAUCUGAGAUAAACUACUUUAAAGGCCUUCAAAGGAAGCUGCUUUGUUGCAUUUCUGAGUGUGUGGAGAGAGGGAGGCUUGGAGAGUUGGACUUUGAAUUGAUAAGAAACUCCUUUCAACAAUGAAAACUACAAAGAGUCUGGCAAUAAAACUUGUUAAGCCUUAGACUGGAAGGAUAAUAGUACCCUUUAAGACAAGAUGAGUAGUGGGAGAGAUGGCCUUUCUCUCUCUAUAUAUAUAUAUAUAUGAAAAAAAUUCAUACAAGGGCGUGGUCCUAAACAAUCAAAGUAAGGCGUACCUUUAAAAUUCAAGAUUUAUGAAUCAAAGAAAAAAUAGAUUUUAAGUCUUGGAAAUAGUACUUAUUGUAAUCUAGACCGUCAAUUUUCAAGUUUUUCAAGUGUUCAUAGAUUUGCUCGAUCUACACUGCUUUUNNNNNNNNNNNNNNNNNNNNNNNNNNNNNNNNNNNNNNNNNNNNNNNNNNNNNNNNNNNNNNNNNNNNNNNNNNNNNNNNNNNNNNNNNNNNNNNNNNNNNNNNNNNNNNNNNNNNNNNNNNNNNNNNNNNNNNNNNNNNNNNNNNNNNNNNNNNNNNNNNNNNNNNNNNNNNNNNNNNNNNNNNNNNNNNNNNNNNNNNNNNNNNNNNNNNNNNNNNNNNNNNNNNNNNNNNNNNNNNNNNNNNNNNNNNNNNNNNNNNNNNNNNNNNNNNNNNNNNNNNNNNNNNNNNNNNNNNNNNNNNNNNNNNNNNNNNNNNNNNNNNNNNNNNNNNNNNNNNNNNNNNNNNNNNNNNNNNNNNNNNNNNNNNNNNNNNNNNNNNNNNNNNNNNNNNNNNNNNNNNNNNNNNNNNNNNNNNNNNNNNNNNNNNNNNNNNNNNNNNNNNNNNNNNNNNNNNNNNNNNNNNNNNNNNNNNNNNNNNNNNNNNNNNNNNNNNNNNNNNNNNNNNNNNNNNNNNNNNNNNNNNNNNNNNNNNNNNNNNNNNNNNNNNNNNNNNNNNNNNNNNNNNNNNNNNNNNNNNNNNNNNNNNNNNNNNNNNNNNNNNNNNNNNNNNNNNNNNNNNNNNNNNNNNNNNNNNNNNNNNNNNNNNNNNNNNNNNNNNNNNNNNNNNNNNNNNNNNNNNNNNNNNNNNNNNNNNNNNNNNNNNNNNNNNNNNNNNNNNNNNNNNNNNNNNNNNNNNNNNNNNNNNNNNNNNNNNNNNNNNNNNNNNNNNNNNNNNNNNNNNNNNNNNNNNNNNNNNNNNCUAACGUUACCUACUAUAUAUAUAUAUAUAUAUAUAUAUAUAUAAAGAGAGAGAGAGAAAGGGUGAGAGAUAUUAAAAUCAAGAAAGUUGUUUCUUCGGAGACCUCUGAUGAAAUUUGAACAAUACAAAGAACAUUAACAUGACCCCUGUGCAAGGAUGAUACGCACAAAUCGAGAAAUUGUUCAAAUUUUUAUUGUAAAAAAAAAGAUAAGCUUUUAGAGAAACAGGGGGAGAGAGAUGUUAAAAUCAAGAAGCCUUCAUAGAGAGAAAAAGAAAAAAAAAAAACUCUUUAAGGGAGGGACAAGCGGCAUUCAACUAAAGUAGCACUGCGUGCAUAGAGAAGCAUUAGGAUAAAGAAUUUACUGAUAGAGUUUCGGGAAACAUAUCCCUUAAUUAAAUUCAAUCUCCAUCAUUGUUUAUAAUAGAUAUAAUUUCAUCAUUGAAAUGAUAUCAUAGGAAAUCUAAUUAGAAAACAUUCUCUCCUAUUUUGAGUACCUUAUCCGUAAUCCUAGUUUUAGGGAUUUUAUUUUUUUUAAAUAAUGGAAAAAUAUUAAACUUAAUUUCAACCACCAAGGUGGACUCAUUUUUUCACCUACGUGAGGUUAAUCUCCACCUCCAAUCAUUUAAAAGGGUGAAUCACUUAGACAUGCACCAUGUUAUCAGACCCAACCUUUCUAUGAUGUAAAAGUAUUUAGAGUCAGCCGAAUCAUGCAUCAGCCCUGGUUUUCAAAGGACUUAGAGACUCGAAAAGACUCCCAAGUUCAAUUCCGAUUCUAAUCUACGACUUUAGAGCUCCAAAAAUAACAAUGCAGAUCUAUAGAAACCUAGAAAAGAUCAAAUGAAUAGUAACAUAAAUACAAAAUUGGCCAAUUUUUAAUACUCAAUUUCUUUCAUAAUUCAUAAUUGUGGUGAUCUAGAUGAUAGACCAGUAAAAUUUUAGAUCCAAAAUCCAUCUGAAUUUUGGGAGUGUGGACGCACAAUAACAUGUGUGAACCCAGACACAAACACACUUAAACCCUAUCCUUGCAUCAUCUAAUGUACUCAAGACGCCCAAAAGAGGUUCAUGUCACCAUCAACCAUUGUACAAAAAGAGGACAUUGGCUUCUGCCCUUCCAACUUCAACAAGGCACAUCAAAAAUUUGCAAAAAUGGACAUUUGAGCAUGUCCUUGGAGUAAUAAUCAAGGGAUUCUACAAGGGACAAGAGAUAUCAGCAAAGCCUUCAUUUCCCGUAGUCCCUCUUAACCUACAAAUAUUUGGACAUGCAAAAUGAAAUAUGGGUUGUAGACUUGAAGGCUUAUUCUCUGUGUUUGCUGCCCAAAAUCCAUAUUGGAGAUGGAUUUUGAUUCCAAAAAUUUCCAGGUCUAUCAUCUCAACCACCGUGAUCAUGAAUUUGAAGAAAGUUAAGAAAGUAUAAAAACAUUAAGCCCUCGAAAAUGGUUCGUUUUGUACCCAUUUUUUGGACUCAUCAUUUCAAUUCUUCAGAGGUCAUCAAGUCCAUACUACCCUUGAAACUCCAAAUUCAUAGAUCUGAGGAAUUUGCAGUGAUUUAAUGUGUUUCGAGUCCUAAAAGCCUUGAGAUCAAUGGAGAUGGAGGAGUCAGCAUACUCAACAACACAAUUUCAGCACCUAGAUACGCAGAAGGAACUAUGCGUCUUGCAUAUCUAAUGAAAUGACAAUGGAACCAAAUAACUCAAUUCAAACACCAUAAAAAAGAAACUAAGAAUUAUCAGCAUCAUUAAUGCAUGUCGAUCUUUGAACUCAAACAAUUUCCAGAUCCUUGAACGAGAGAGCUUUACGGAACAAGUCAUAAAGAGAUGCAUAGCAAAAAUACAGAGAAACAUAAUCAUGGCCUCCUUGGUCUCCAAAAGAUUUAUCAGAAUAAUGGAACAUUGUAAACUGAACAAUAGCCAAGCGUAAAUAUCAGAGAAUGAGAAAUAUAGUAUCAAGAAAGAUCUCCAUACAUUGUUAUGAGUUAACAAAGAUUCUUUGAUCAUUCUUAAAUUGCUUAGGGAAGACUUUCUCAAACUACUUACGAAAUUCAUAUAUUUGACCAAGGAAUUUAUGGUGCUUUGCUAUCAAACACCAGCAUAAUCAAGACUAUGUACCAUAAUCCCAUAUGGACAUAUGAACAACAAAAAUAAAACAACUAACCAAAAAAAGCAGUUGAAAACAAUAAAGAGAAGGAAUGAAAAAAAGAAUAUUGUCCACAGCCCCAGAUCUCACAAUGAGACUCGUAUCAGGUUUGUGAAAAAGGAAUUGUCAGCCAUUCCAAUAAAGGGAGCAAAGUGUAAGCACUAAGUAUCAGUCAUUAAGUAUAUAGAGCCAUGAGACCCAAAUAAACAUCAAACAACCAAGUUCAAUAGUCACAACAACAAGGACAACUAUAGCAAGGUCGUAGGCAAAAGAUGACUCUACAAAAUUAUAUUCAUGGAAAUUCACAUCAAAUAGUCAAAAGGAUCUCUGAGAAGUUUCAUCUUUUGAGCUUGUAAAGUCAAUGAAGAAAAUAGCCAAAUGCAUGAAAACACUGCCUGUUUCUAUUUUUUUCGUUUUUGCUUUUUCUGUUUUCGGUAAGUGCCUCGAAAAUUUUUCUACUCCUCCAAGGAUGAUUUCAGCUCACCAGAAUUGUGCAAUUCCAUCACAAUAUCACAUCCUCCAAUCAAUUCUCCUUUAUGGUAAAGCUGAGGAAAAGUUGGCCAAUUGGAGAAGGUCUUCAGACCCUGUCUCACCUCAUCAUCUGUCAAGAUAUCGAAGUAACCAAAGUUCAUGCCCUCCUCUCUAAGGGCCCCUACCACCUUUGAGCUAAACCCACAUCGAGGUGCAUCUGGGGUUCCCUUCAUGAACAACAUAGUGGGUGAUGAACUAGUAAGUGCCCUCAACCUGUCCUCAAGACUCACUUUUGGAACAAUCCCUUUCUCGGCCAAAAGUUUCCUUAAUUCCCCACUCUUUUGCAUUUCCAGCACAAUAUCUGACCCCCCAAUGAGCUCCCCCUUCACAUACAACUGUGGAUAACUCGACCAAUUUGAGUAUACCUUGAGCCCUUGUCGAACUUCAUCGUCACAGAGUAUAUCAAAGCUAUUGAAUUCUAUCUUCUCAUGCUGAAGAAUCUCGACCACUUUUCGACUAAAUCCACAUUUGGGUUCGUCGGGCUUCCCCUUCAUAAACAACAUAACAGAGCUCAAAUUGAUCAGAGCCUCAAGCCGAGAAGUUAGCAUUGAGCUUAAGCCAGUUGAUUCAGUUACACCCAUUGCAUUUCCACUCUUGCUAGUUUCAGAUGAUAAUGAUUUAUCAUUUGAUUCAGUAACCGAGGGUACAUUUGUAGUGUUUGCCACUUGUGUUUUAUCAGAGAGAGGAAGAACCCCAUGGUCCCUAAAAACAGCCUUUAAUUCACCACUUUCAUGCAUAGCCACCACUAUAUCACACCCUCCAAGAAGCUCACCCUUACAAAAUAGCUGAGGGAAGGUAGACCAAUUGGAGAACUUCUUCAUUCCCUCUCUAACUUCAUUAUCUGUUAAUAUAUCAAAGCUAACAAAUUUGACGCCCUCUUCCUUCAAUAUGCCCACCACUUUUUGGCUAAACCCGCACUUGGGUUGCUCAGGGAUCCCCUUCAUGAAGAGAAAGACUGGGUGUGAGUCCACAAGUUGUUGAAGCCGCUUCUUCAAAGGCUCAGGUAAUUCAUUUGGGUCUUUUAGGUGUGAAGUUCCAUUUUCUUUGGCAAAGUCUUUAACAGCUUCGAGCACUGUGGGGCCUGCUGCCAUGCCAAGGCUAGCAGCAGUGGCUGAAUCAGUUAAUCCAAUGGGGCCCACAAGUUUUGCGACUUUGUUUGCCAAAGCUGAGGGGUUUGCACCUUCUAGUUUAUCGACAACUUUUCCAUCCUGAAGAGAAAAAUGUAAACAAUGAAGGGAUUAUAUAAAAUUAUCUAAUUUGCAAACCGUAUGCUAAAUGUAGUCUCCGUAAUCCACUAUAUGACGGACGGGAAAAGAACUAUUCCUCCAUUUGAGCAGACAUUGGCAAAGGAACAGGUUCAUUUCGGCUCACUAGAAUGGACAGUAGAGACCUAAAUGUAGCAGUUUUCCAAUAAAGAAAUAAACCAAUGAAAUGAUCAAUUGGCAAGCAAAGAUGAUCAGGAGAGCUUGAGGAAGUAACAGUAAGAAAUUGCAAUACUAAGAAAUAGAAUCCCUGUUCGAUUGCCUGUAUGUGAGUCUUCCUCUUUUCUUCAAAUGAAUCUAUUCUUUUAGGAAAUUGCCUGUGCACAAGUUGACUUUGACUGGACAGUUUAGACUUGGAGCAAAUUACGUAUGGAUACUGUUGGGAGGGGUCAAUUACCAAAUGGGGAGUCAUUUCUCUGAAAUUACGAACAACCCCUCCCCCCCCCUUUCCCCCUCCCGCAGGUUUUUUUUUCCCUAAGUUGCCCUCCUGUCUGGCAAUGCAAAUACCAAACAGGAGGAGAGCUAAUUUCUUUUCAAAGUAAAAGAGUUGUCCAGUGUUCGAAGUACCGGACAGCUCUUUGAAUCCCCAAAACCAACUUUAGAUUGCUAGGGUUUUAAGAGAGAGUAGAACGCUGCGUUUUCUUUGCCUUGAGAGCUAAGAGCAAGAGCCGCUCAACCCAAGCCCUAGCUUGGGGAAAAUUGACAGAGGAUCAAAGAACUAACAUGGGUGGUCCAGAAAAGGUUCAACUUUUCUGAGCAAGAGCCGCUUAAUCCUAGCUUGGGCAAAGGUAAUUUUAGGGGAAAUAAGAGAGUGUGUUAACAGAAAGCUAUUUUUAGGGAGUAAAUAUUACGACGGAUGAAUCCAAAGGUAAAUGCUAACCAGAAAGUUGUUCAGACAUCCAAAUUGUUUGGAUCCACAAAGUAUUAUGGCCAUAUUGUGUGACCCACAAAUCUAAUUCCCCAUUAUUUAGAACUAAAGAAAAAGAAGGCUAUCAAAAUCAUUCACAAAAUCUUGCGGGUAAACCAUGUAACUCCAUCCAUCCAUUCCAACGACAUUGAGAUUUCCAGCAGCUGGUCUUAGCGGCUCUUGCUACUAAGUCUCGAUGCAAAGAAAACACAGCAACGUUAUCUCUCUCUCCCUAGCAAUAUAAAGUUGGUUUUGGGGGAUUCAGAGUGUUGUCCGGUACUUUGAACACCGGACAGCUCUUUUACUUUGAAAAAAAAUUAGCCCUUCUCAUGUCCGGUAUUUGCAUUGCCGGACAGGAGGGCAACGUUAGAGACAAAAAAAAAUCCCGUGGGAGAGGGUGGUGUUCAUAAUUUCCGGGAAAUGACACCCCAUUUGGUAAUUGACCCCUCCCAAUGUCCGUACGUUUGCUCUUAGAUUUGAGCCCAAUUGAAUGGGAGGUUCAGAUCACAAAUAUCAAUUUAAAGGUUAAUCUCAACUUUUCAUUCACAAAGGAUUAUAGAGCAAUAAACUAUAACAGCACCUAUUACUAAAAGCACUCAAGUGGAACAGAGAGCGACAAUAAUCAGAUUAGCCACCAGGACAAGAAAUGAGGCGCCCUCAUAGAAAAGUUCCAAAAAAUAAAAUUUCAACAGAUAUUUUCUUAUUUUAGGUGGAAUUCAAAAUAAAAAAGUGAAUGGUUGUCAUUUGUCAAAGACCAAGACAGGAAGAUGAAAAUAUUCGAUUCCCAAUUAAAAGCAGCCCAAAAUAUUCCCUGCUGGUGAUUCAUGGCGACUGUACCUUUAUCAAAGUAUCAAAGUUUAAAACCUGAAAUCGAAAAUUACAUGUUGAGGGAGUGUCCAUGAAUCAGCAUUAAGUUCUCAAAACUAUUAGGGUUGCCAUCUUUAUCCAAACGUCGAAAUUUAAAACUUAAAAUUGAUGAGUACAUGUUCAGGGAGGGCCCAACUUCUAAUAAAGAAGAAAUAGUGGAGAAAGUGUGUGCAAUGAGAGAGAAGGGCAACUAUUCGAAAGCACAAACCUUCAAAAAGAAAAAAGCGAAAGCACAAAGCAUCACUGAUGAGCUAGAAUAAAAUAGAAUGACUUUAUGAAACAAUGUCCAUAUAGUCUUUUAAAUAAGACUGAAUCACAAUUCCUGAAUUUGUGAGACCGUUGAGAAUUCGACAACCUAGAGACCUUCAUACUCCACAACCUAGAGACCUUCAUACGCAAUAUCAUUCUAAUUACUUAAUUCACAUCGCAGAGAUUGACCAAUUGUUUUAGAAACUUUCUUUUUUGUGAACACCUUUAAGGCAGAAGAAAUUACUGGGUCAUCAAUGAUGAAACCCCAUGCAAAAAUAUUCGAAAUUCAAAAAGAAGAAAGAAAUAUAUCAAACACAAAUAUAAGAGAGGAGAGUAUCAGAAACGGAAUAUGAUUACCAGGUUUCUCAAAUUAAAAAAAAAGUUGACUUCAAUUUCACAGAAAUCCCCAAACACAAAUAUGCGAGAGAGAUAGAGAGAGAGAAUAGUUCACACCAUAUAAAAAGAAGGUGAAAUCACAAAAAAUGGAAAGAGAAAGAGAGUUAAUAAUCAAAGUUAGACAGAGAGACACCAAUCAAAGUUAGAGAGGAAUAGAGGAUUAUACAAAGUAACAGGUGUGAGAAACUUCACCGACCUUGCAGAACACAAAAUAGGGCACGGAUGAAACAGCGUAAGCCUCCGAAAUCUCUGGUUUUUCUUCCGCUUCAACCUGCAAAGUUUACAGUAAACAAAACAAAACAAAAUAAAAUAAAAGCCACAAAAAGCAAGAGAAAAUGGCCAAACACAAAUAAAAUCACAUAUUUUCCAUCAAAAUAAACAAUAAAUGAAGACCCAACAACAAAAUGAAGGUAAAAAUAGAGUGGAAGAAGAAGAAACCCUAAAGAAUCGAGCUUGAGGCGUAUCAGUAGAGAGGUGGGCAAAAACUUGGUCCAUUUGCUUUGAGGCCUCACACCACGAAGCCCAAAAAUGAAGGAUAAGGGGAAAUCCCUUGCUCAAAGCUUCCUUAAGCUCGGCCAUCGACUGCAAAUCCUUCACCGAACCAGCCAUCUCUCGCUCUCUCUCUCCAACUCUCUAACUCUCUCUCUCUCUCUUUUCCCUCUAGGUGGAAAUUAUACUCUGGUUUUUAUGGAGUAGGAAAUGACCAAAACAUCCUAUUGAUUCCUUAAAAUGACAAUUGCCUCCCUCACUCUAUGCUCAUUACAUAUGGACAAGGAUCCGUUUGUUUGUCCUAGUACCGAUGUUAAAACCUUGAUUUAUGGGCAAUCACGAAUAUAGGUAUUCAUCAAUUAAUUGGAUUUAUGGGAAAUCACGACUAUUGGUAUUCUUGAAUAGUUGUAAUAAAUAGGUACACUAUCUUUAUGGCGAUGAUAAAAAAAAAUGAAUAUAACGAUACCAUUUACUUUUGACAUAAGAGGUCACAUUUAUCAUUAACCGUUAAAUUUGAUAUUCGGUGGUUGAAGAUACGUUAUUAUUUAAACACAAUGUCUAAAACAAAAUUUUUCAAAUGUUGUGACACACUUUCAUUUAUUGGAUUUCAAAUCCAAUGACUAACAACGAUUGGAACCUCUUUAUACCAAAAUUGAAUAGUUUUAUAAUAUACAAUCUCUACUAAAUAAUAUUAAGGUGUUCAUGGUUCAUGUGUCCAAGUAUCCAGGGACAUGCUUGUGAGAAUGAGUCCACUCUCUCAAAAUUUAUCCAGCAAAACAAAUUUGGAUCCACAAUUUUGCAAGUCUGUUAUCUAAAUAGUUGUUCUUGUGAUUAUGGGGAAAUUGAACUUUAAAGGGUUUAUUUUAUAAUAAAAAAAAAAUUCUUAAUGGCACCGAUUCUUAAUAAAAAAAAAAAUUCUUAAUUCUUGAAAUAAUUUCUCCAUAACUUCUAUUUUUGACACCGAUUUUUUCAAGAGACUCAAAGUUCUAAAAUAUUUUUAAUGGCAUAAAGUGUCUCACAAAACUCUCUCUCUCUCUGUAAAAUGCCCAAAGCAGCUGCAAAAACCUACUUUCAAAAGAUGCCCCUCUCUCUCUCUCAACAUAGAUACAUUGAAAAGGGAGUAUUCCAACGAAGAUUGAAGAAUAUUUUCUUUUACUUAAUCUACAAAAAAACAAUGGAAAAUGAUGAGAGCGCAAAAUGUUUCAGAUCAAACAAGGUUACAGGUGGAGGGAGUUAAUGAAGACAACCUAGAUCAGAAACAUCAGCGUAGAUACAAAACUGAGAGCCCUGGUCUGACCCCACAUAAAUAUUUUUCAAAAAUACAAAAACAAUUCAAACCCAUAUGCGAAUUUGAUAUGAAGCCCAUCUUUUACAAGCUCAUGAAUCCUUGACUGAAUCUACAAUAUUCUCUUGGUCGACACGUUUCACUCUCUGAAAGCAAAUCCAUUUUCAUUCCCUGCUCACAUACAGUAAUUCAUAUCAGUAUUCGCAAAAUCAAACCAAAACAGUUAAUCAGAUAUGGGUACAGUUAAUCAGAUAUGGGUAUAGAAACGGUUUAACACACUUAUUCAACCAUUUUCACCGGAUAAAUCCCAAGCGGUCAAAAAAAAGUUGAAAGAAAUAAAAAAAUAUAAAAAAUAACUAUUAAAAUAUGAAAAACAUAUAAAGAAUGAUUAAAACAAAACACAUUCUAAUGAAGUUGAAAAUUAGCGAAAAAAAUGAAUUUUAAAGAAUCGACUUGUGCUUAGAAGUAUUUUAAAAUUUUUUUGAAAGAUAUGGGAAAAUAUAAAAAGUGAGUAUUAAUGACCAAAGCAAUUUUUAAUCUUUACUACAAUAUAAAUAUUAUUAAAAAAUACAUUACAAACCAAAUUCUUUAUUUUUUAGAAUUUAUAUACAUUUUUUAUUUUUUAUUUUGAAAUACUGGCCUAUCACCAAAACCAUAACCUGCAAGUGGCUGGUUCCAAUCUAACCGAGCGCUUAUCAAUUAGAUUGCCCGGUUUUUCCAACAAUGACUCCGAUAAAUAACAUGAUAGGUAUUUGAGAUUUGAGAGAGAGAGACGAUGUUUUGGGAGAGAGACGGAGAGGUUAACUAACAAUAAAAUGGUUUGUUAAAAGGUUGUUAUUUCACCAUUUGUUUGGAUCAAUAAUACAUUAUCAAAGGGGCUUAAGGGAUUGGUGGAUAAAAAAGAUAGAGAUCUUAUGCCGCUAUAAAUAUUUCGAAUCCUUAGGUCCCUUGAUAAAUAUGUACCAAAAAUUGGGAAAUAAGGAUAAAUUUUCCCUUAAUUCUUCAAAGAUUAUUAAGUCCGCAAACUUUUUGAGCUCUAAAUUCAUGAAUAUGAGGCAAAAUUGAACGUGUUGGGAAUGUCUUAAAUCCCUAAAAAGCUAGAGCAUAAGCAUGAAUAAGCCAACUCAUUGAAUACUUUUUCCCGUCAUUAAAAACUAAAAAAACCUUUUAAAGCUAAUGUCAAGACUCAUGAUUAGUGGUGAAAUUUUUAUAGCAAGUAGGUUUCCAUUUUUCAGCUUAUAACUUAAAUAAUGGGAUUUUUUUUUUUGGAUAAGCAAAACUAAUGGGAUUGUAUAGAAUGAAAUUAUUUAUCUUUAUUACAAGAAAGUGACAAUUACUUGCAGUCAUAUGAUGUAAAAUUUGAUAGCUUGGGUGUGUCACAAAGUUGGAGAUAUUUUUUUUUUGAACUAUAAACUUAGUCAAUAGAACAAAUACAAUAACCCAAUUUCACAUCUAAUGGUCACGAUUAAACAUGACGACCUUAUAGCAAAAAUAAAUAGUUUCAUUGUAUAUUUUUCCGUAAAUAACAGAUGCAAAGCGGGAAAAUCGCCACUUGUAAAUCCAACUAAAUAAGAAUAAUUCCUACUUCUGAAAAAGCAGACAUCCAAACAGAAGCAUUUUGUUUGUGUUGUGUGUAAAAGCUCAGACCAAAACUAUCUCAGGUAAAAUAUAGUAUGCUACCGCGAGAGUAUAAAAUCUUUUGGCUUUUUCUAUAGCCCAUUUACUAACCAAUUCGGGUCCCUCUCUCUACUACAGCUAAAGUCUCUAUCCUCAUCAGUGGCACGGGAAAGUAAAAAGAGGAAUCUUUUGUGUUUGGCAAAUGAAAAGGAUGGGAUAUAACACAAAUUAUUAUGAAAAGGUCACGGUUUCUAUGCAGCCAGCCCGCAUACUGUAGAAAUGCUGGCUUGACAAUAAAUAUAUAUUUUAAAAAUGGUUUGAUCAUAAUUUUUAGAAAACAUAUAAAAUUUAACAUGGAGAUCAUGAAUAUGAAAAAAAAUAAUUAAAAACUAAAAAUAACAAUUAUAUUAAAAAAACAUUUAGAUUGUUGGUUGCACUUAUUUUUAGAUAGACCACAUAUUUGCAUCCAUAUGUAAGAUGAAUGCUUUAUACCUCUUGACGGCAUAUUGUAGAAAUAUUGUCCAGCCCACAUGAAACAAUUUUCUUUAUGAAAAUAUGCCUUUAGAUGAUGAUGAGUAUAUAAAGCAUGAAUUUUAUAUUAAAAAGGCAGAUCGGCUCAUAAAUCUAAUUUUUUGUGAUGAAAACACCGCCAAAUAAAAUUAAUACCAAUAAAAAAGAUGCAAUGAAUGUAUUUGCAGCUUUAUACAUUUUUAUGCAUUUUCACCUCAGAUUCACUACAAAAUGCAGUUUUGGCACCUCUAUUGAUUCUAUAUAGGUCCAAGGAAAAACUAGAUUUAAGCUGAAAAAGUGGUCCAUCUUGCAAUAUCUUUUUUUUAUGAUUAUUUUUAAUUCAUUGCAAUAUUUUUUUUUUAUGAUUAUUUUUAAUUCAUUACGUGCGUGAUAAUCUCCUCCAAUACAUUUUUGUUUACACCCUGAUACUAUUUUCUUUUGCAUCAACCCUCAUGGGUGAAACUUUUAGAACAUUUUUUAGUAAUUAAAAUACUCAUUUUAGUCAAACACAAAUAAAUUUUAGUUUAAGCUAGUGCUACCUUGGGAAAAUUUCUUGGAGUUGAGGUAAGUACGGUUCUACAAAGGUCGAACCGGCCAUAAACUUAAAACUAUUUUGUGUUUGUCUAAGAUAAGUAUUUUCGUCAAAAAUGAUAAAAAAAUACAUAGCGGUAAAAAGAAACAGCAACAGUGUUUAUGAUGUGAAAAAAAAAUUAUAGAGGGGUCUAUGUAUAGGACGUUUAGAGGGGAUUCAUAUAAAUUUUCUUAUUAUUUUAGCUUUUAAUUUUAUAAUUAGGGAAAAAAAUAAGAUUUUCAACAAUCCCCAAAUUUUAAAAGCUCGAUCAAGUUUCUCUGGGUUUUGAAGUGCAUAACCUUACCAAAUUCCAUAGAGUCGGGAGCGGGGCUGGGUCACCACAUCCUAGUCACCAUAUUGUGAUUUUCAUUUUUUACCGGCACCAUCUCACUAACACCUUCAAAAAAAAUUAACCCCCUAACAAUUUGAAAAGAUAAAUAGGGGCUGUCUUCCCCACUGAAUUAACUAAAAAAAAUAAAUUCAUAAAUUCGUGGCACCAAAAGUCAUCGAGAAAAUACAACCAGAGGCCCAGAUGGAAAAUGUACAUUGGAUCAAAUACCUUCAAUAUGGACCCUUAGCAUCUAACUUUAGGUACGUGGACUCAAGUUGCAGAAAAAGAGAAAGAUUCAUUUUUUGUUCUUCUAAAAAGUAAGGAAAGAGGUUCUCAACCUUAUUGGUAAAUUUUUUUAAAAAGGAGAGAGAGCUUCAAACUAGACUUAACCUUCCAUUCAACCCAUUAAGAUCUAAAUGUUUUAGGAGUUGGUGGCUAACUCGAUCACCUCGCAUUUCGAACGGAAAUGUCAAUUCUGAUUCUUGAGUCGGAUCGAUGAUUUUAAGCAAAAUAACUAAAAAAAACAGCAAAUUAAAAAUACAAAUGUUAAAAACCCAGUGUUUGAAUCACCCUGAUUUAAAUCAAUAUAUAUGCCUUGAUAGAAGUCAUGGUUCUAUAACAGAGUUCAAAUGUGAUUUAAAUUGAUGAUUUUAAAUCCAUUGUUUUUAUUCUCUUUGCCUUUAAUUAUCAGGCCAAAAUAUUCCCUUUGCCUUUAAUUAUCAGGCUAAAAUAUUCUCUUUGCCUUUAAUUAUCAGGCCAAAAUAAAUUUAAUUAUGUUAUGAGGCAAAACAUUAUUUACAUCAAGGCAGAAAAAAAAUUAAAAGUCAAUUUUUUAAAAAUGGUCUGAAAAUAUGCAAAAAACUCAAACAUCCAAUUUUUGUUUUAUUUUUCCCCUAUUUUGAACUAUCUCACCUUAGAAUCAGCAAACCGACUUGGGAAUCGUGAUUUGACUCAAAACAUGACUGAGUCGGUCACGAUUCAUGUUUUUAAAAGGACUAGACCGCAUUUCUACAAUACGCGGUCCCAAGGUAUAAAGCAUCAAUCUUACAUCUAGAUGCAAAUAGGUGGUCCAUCUAAAACCAAUUGAAACUAACUGUCCAAAUGUUUACUUCAUAAAAUCAUUAUGUUUAUUUCUUAAAAUUUAUUUAUUUAUAUUCAUGAUCUCUAUGUUAGAGAUUACAUGUCUUUGAAAAUUGGUUCCGAAAAUCCAUCUCAAAAAUUAAAUUUUAAGAUAUGUGGACUCAUAGAAAUCGUGUCCAUUUUUAAAACAUUGAUUCAAACUUUAUAGCUUGAGGCAAUGCUCUAGAAGAGAUCUUUAUGUGUAGGGUUCUUGAGAGCCCCUCACUUGCGGAACCGGGAAUCCCAAGUACCCGGGUCCGACCCAAGAUCAUGUACAUAAUUGGCUAAAUGCGAAGUAGACGAAUGCAAAUAUAAAUCAAGUUUAAGAAAUAAAGCAAACAUAAAAAAACAUACCACAAAAAUAUACGAUUUAUGUGUUUCACCUCGUAGGGCUACAUUCACGGCUUCAGCAAUUAGAAAUCUAUUAUCAUAAUGAAGUUUACAAUUAUGUGUUAAUAGAGAUAUACUACUCUCUAAACAUCGGUAAAAAAUCAUCACCGAUCUUUUUUUCUAAGCUCGCUCUCCCGACUAAGCAACAUUGUCGAUCAAUACCUUAUUUUCUAACGCAAUACCGCUAUCAGAAAUAUAACAUCGAUAGCAACUGAGAGAUUUUCUUUCUCUAGAAACAGAAACCUUACCAACCCAAAACUCAUGGGAAUAUCACCUCUCUCUCGAACCAUGUCUCUCUCUCUUAGAGACCAAUCUAUAUCUUUGGAGUCCAUUCCCAUAACCCCCAAAGGGGUGACCCUAAAAAGGAUAGGUAUUAUGUCUUCUUUGGCUCUCUUAUAUGGAUAUCACUUUCUUUCUUCCCAAUAAAGUUGAUUCCUUUUUACCAUAAUACCUUUAAUCUUUAAAAUAAAAUAUUAGUAUAUUGAUUUGGCUAUCACUAAACCCAACAAUUUCCACCUCGAUAGCAAAAUCACUAUAAUUGCCUUGGCAAUCUUCAUUGAAUAGAUUUAUUGAUUUCUUCUCACUUGCCUGCAUUGUCAGCUUUUUACAAACAUUUUGCCUUCAUAUUUCUCCACCUCAAAAUCAUGUAUCCAUCAAACUCCACCAUUCACCAUUUUUUUAAUGCAAGCCUUAGCCCCAUACAAACCUUGUGCUCUGAUACCAACUGUAGGUUUUUUUGGGAACUCCUAGCUUGCGGAACCGAGAAUCCCAAAUAUCGGGAUCCUACCCAAAAUCAUGUACAUAAUUAGCUAAAUGCGAAGUAAGUGAAUACAACUAUAAAUUAAAUGUAAUAAAUAAAAUAAACAUAAAAAAGCACAUCACAAAAACACACGAUUUACGUGGUUCACCUCGUAGGGCUACAUCUUGUUGAAUAAUUAAUGGGAAGAGAUGAACUCGCCAAAGUCCCAAUAAUCGAAGGCAAUAUCGUAAAACUGUAAAUCACAAAUAUUAGGUUUUACCAGAACAAUUGAGAACUCUAUGUUUUAUCUGUGUAUUCCUCUUUAUAGCCAUGAAACUGUUCUUAAAUAGAGAUGAGAGGAGACUGUUAUCCAACGUUUCGCUUUUUUCAUGUUAUCUCAGAUAACGUGGCUCUCUUUUCCUAAGAGAUUGGUAGUUAUCAUCUACUCGUUGGAUAACAUCAUCUUCUCUAUCUAAAAAGUUGUUUUUCGUGAUAAAUAUUAAAAGAGAAAAAUAUGGUACAUGUGAGGCCUCAUGGCCACGCAUAGGUACCAACACAUCCACAUCUUUGGUAGCUAAAAAUCCACUGUCACAAUGCAAAUUACAUUUAUGGGUUACAAUAGAUAUAUCUCUCUCUAAACAUCAUUAAAAAACCGCCAUCGAUAUUCCCUUCUAAACUCACUCUCCCGACUAAGCAACACUGUCAAUCAAUACCUUAUUUCCCACACAAUACCACUACCAGAAAAAUAACCUCGAGAGCAACCGAGAUAUUUCAUCUCUCUAGAAACGGAAGCCUUACCAACCCAAAACUUAUGAGAAUACCACAUCUCUCUCGGAGACCAUGUCUCUCUCUUGGAGACCAAUCUCUAUAUUUGGAGAUCCAUUCCCAUAAUCCCCAAAGAGAUGACCCUCAAAAGGAUCGGUAGUAUGUAUGUAUUCCUAGGCUCUCUUGUAUGAAUAUUACUUUCUUGCUUCCUAAAAUAUUCCAUUUUGUUUUAAUUUGGUACAAAAACCUUCGUACUCUACAUAACUAUUUGCACUAUUUUUGGAAUUAAACAAAUGGUGACAGCACUGCAUUUUACAAAGCCUUGAUAUAUCGUGAUAGAUUUGAUCGUUACUUAGAUAGCAUCAAAUAUGUUAUUAGGUUUAAAAAUUAAUAUGAUAAAAUAAAUAUAAAACAAAUUUAUCAUUGAAAAUUGUUACUUGGUUAGCCUGGCUACAAACUUAAUUGUUCUAAUGUGUUUUAUUAAAAUGUAAGCUUAGCAAUGGGUCCCUACUUGUCGGCUCAGCCAUGAGAAAAUAGUAGCGGUGGCAAUGGACCCCGACCUAACUUUGGGGCCCGAGGGGUAGACCUGAUCUUGGUCCGGAAAUGGGUUUAAAAAUUGGACCCGACGGGUUGGGUUUGGGUCCAAGAACACUAUUCGGGACCAGGUCCGGGUACUAUUGAGUCUAAGUCUAGGGCUGGUAAUAUUUUUCGGGUCUUAAUAUAUAAAAUAUAUUUAAAUAUAGUUAGGUACAUAGAUAUUUUAAUUUUUAGGUCAGGUCAAGUUGGAUUUAGGUUCGAGUCCCACUGUAUGUUUGGGUCCAAGUCGAGUGAAUUUGGGUUUGGUUGGGUCAAGAUUCAGGUCCAGGUCCAGGUCCCAUAUCAUUUUUCGGGACCUCAACCCAACCCGAUCCGUUGCCACCCCUACAAAUCAUUCAGGUUAUCACCAAAGUGAUUACUUUAAUAUGUACAUUUCACUCGAGUACUUCAAGUAUUUUGCUAUACCUAAAAUGCCCUUGUUUGGGUUUGGAUCAUGAGCAAGCAAUGUUGUGUUGGCAAUUUAGCUACGAGUGCGUCAAAUUACAAAGUUAUCUAUGCAUAUUUCGGAAUGCAAAACCUAAGAUGUUUUAAAAAAACAAAGUUAUCUAUGCGUAUUUCGGAGUGCAAAAUCUAAGAUGUUUUUUUUAAAAAAAUGUAUUAUAGGUUUGGAAUCAAGAACAAGUAGGGAUGUUAAUAUCAUUUAGCUCGAACUAUUCAAAUAGAUUAAAAUUAUCAAAAUACCCUUGAUUGUCUAGGAUUCCAACACCAGAUAAAAGUAAUUUAGAUAUUUAUCAGCACUAUAGUCGACAAGAUACUUGAAUGAAGCCAUAUUUUUUAAGUAACCACUCAAUUCAUAUAUAGUUGACCAUCUCUAGGGUGCGGUUUGUACAAGGCCGAGGGCCUAAACAACUACAGUAAGGCGCACCUUUAAAUAAUAUUCAACGACAUUGUUUCAAUACAAAGAAAUCUUUGUGAUGACUUGAAAAUUUAUUUUCAUUUCUAAUUAUAAAAUUUAAAGCAUAAAAAAUCACGUAGAUCUAGCAUAUCUAUGAACACAUAAAAAACUUGAAAAUUGAUGGUCCGAAAAUGUAUCACAAUAUGUACCAUUUCCAAAACUUGAAAUCUAUUUUUUCUCAUGUCUAUACAUCUUGAGGUCAAGAUAAUCAACUUGAGGAAUUUUUGGGCAUCGAAACAACUUCUUUUAAUGAAAUUUUUAGGUGUACCUUAGUUUGAUUGUUUAGGGCCUCUCCCUUGUGUAGACGUUUUCUCUAUCUCAAUGAUUUCUUAAAGGUUGUUUGAUAUAUAGGUAAAUGCAUUGGAAAAAUUAAAAGCGCUUAACAAAAGAUAUUGAGAAAUUAUGUUGCUUAAAGGUCGUUUGAUAUAUAGGUAAAUGCAUUUGAAAAGUUAAAAGCGAUUAUCAAAAGAUAUUGAGAAAUUAUGUUGCUUUUCGAUCAAUAGGGGAAGACCUUCCAUGUGAAGUAGUUGUUACAUUUUGGAUUUGAUUGCUUGUCUUUGUUCAGAUGUUUUGGCUUUUAGUCUCAAAUCAAAUGAUUCAAAGUUUCAAACCAAAUGAAUGGAUGCUCCAGCAGGAGCAUAUCUUCCAUUCAUUUCCUCAUGUAAAUCUUGUUCAAGAGUAUUUACAGGACCAAUAAUUUUGGGAAUAUAAUCUAUUAGUCCAACCUGCCUUAAAAAAAACAUCAAAAGCAACACCGAUAAUUAUAGGUGUUUUUACUUUAAAAAAGAGUGUGAUUUUUGUAUAAGGCUGAUGCCCUAAACAAUCAAAAUAAGGCAUACCUUCAAAUAGCCUGAAAAUUUAUGUUCAUCUCUAAUUAUAAAUUUAAAGCUUAAAAAAUAGUGUAGAUCAAGCAGAUCUAUGAAAAUCUUGAAAAUUGACGGUCCAAAAAAUGCAAUACAAGAUGCACUACUUCCAAGACUCGAAAUCCAAUUUUUCUUAUGUCUAUACAUCUUGAAGUCGGGAUGAUCGAUUUUUGGACAUUGAAAUAACUUCCUCCUCUAAUAAAUUUUUGAAGUGCGCCUUAAUUUGUUUGUUUAAUGCCUCAUCCUUAUAUAAUUGGUUUUCUUAAAAAAGAGUCUUAGUACUAAAUAGAUAAUUGCCCACAUGUUGGGACAGUCAGAUCAAUGGUUAGGGAGCAAUGAUUUCAUGCAACGGUUGUAUCAUGAUAUAAUGCAACCACAUUAAAAAAUCAUGCUAGAGAUAUUUGUUUGACGCAAUUUUUUAGUUGUAUACUAUUUUCAUUCUAUAGAAUAAUCACAAAAAAUAAAAUUUAGAAAAAAACACCUUAAAAAGCGUUUUUCUAGCCCACUUAAUAUAAGCCAUCUGUUUUAGUGAGAAGAUUAGAUAUAGGCCUCAAAAAGAUUUUUUUAUUCCCAAAAUUUGUAUAUAGUGUUAUCAUCAUUAGAUUAACAAUGCUAUAAAAUAAAAAAGUGAUUUUGAAUUUGUCAAGGUCUAGAUCUUGAAAUUCACCAAUUGGACGGUCAAAAUUCAUUAUUGGAAGGUACUAAUUUUUAUCAUAUUAAGGGUACAAAUUGAUUUUUUUUUCCAUAAGAUUGAUUAUGAGGAUGAAGAAAAUAUGUGUGCAAAAUUUGGGGUUAUACAAAUGCAAAAAAUAUGGUUUUCUAUAAAUGUGGUUGCAUUAUACUAUGAUACAACCGUUGCAUGCAAUCAUUACGCAUGCUUAGGAACUCAAAAUCUAUAUUUUCUUUUGAAAAUACUCAUCUGGAAGUUCUAAAGUGGAUCAUAAUAUUUAAAAUAGGAACAGCACUCCUAAGUGUUCUUUUGCCUGAGGGAGUAAGUGUAUAAUGUGUUCCAGUGAGAGUAAAAUAGGUCAAGUUCCGGUUACCAUGUGCAUUGGAUUGGAUUAUGGACAAGGAAGGGGAUUGGAGCCAUGUGAAGAUUUUAGGGGCCCAGGAGAUGUGUAGAUCUUUUUUAAAGUUUCUUGUUUGUUUUACUUGUCCAAUGUUGAUUGAUCUAUCCACUAUGCUGAAAUAAAUGAUUUUUUUAUAUGUUUAUAGAUUCUUUUUAUCAUUUUUUUAAGUUUUGUUUUCUUCUCAUUUAACACCAGAUCGCUGAUGUGGCAAGAUAGAAAAUAAAAUAAAAUACAAUAAAACAAAAGCAGUCAAGAAAAAGGGGUCUUAGGGUUAUAAACUUUAAGGAAUAAUGAAUAAUAAUAGAAACGCUAAAAAGAAAAAGUUUAAGAGAAAAUGGGGCUCUAAGGCGGGGAUCAGGCCAGUUUGAUAGAUCCCUAGAACCAGAUUGAUUAGUGAUUCCAGGAAUGGACGGCUAUUUCGAAUCCGGAUCGCUAUGUUUUGAAUAACUGAUUUAAGUGACAUCAAAUAUUUUAUAACUACAUUUCAAUGAGAGGAAAGUCAAUAGAAAAUGGGAAAAGUUUAUAUAGAGCUGAGGCUCUAAACAAUCAAAUAAGAGCCUACCUCAAAAUGUUCACUAGAAGAGGUUGUUUAUCCUCAAUUUGAUCAUCUCGACAUCAAGAUGCAUAGACAUGAGAGAAAAAUAGAUUUCAACUUUUGGAAAUAGCAUAUUUUGUAACGUAUUUUUGGACCGUCAAUUUUCAAGAUCUCAUAGAUCUGUCGAUCUACACUAUUUUUUGAGCUUUAAACUUUAUAAAUAAAGAUAAAAUUACAUUUUAAGGCUAUCAUAGAGAUUUCCAGUAUUAAAACCACAUUUCUCGAAACUAUUUAAAGGUAGGCUUUAAUUCAAUUAUUGAGAGCCUAGCUCUAUACAAACCGCACCCAUAAAAAACGAGAAACUCACAUGUCGCAUUACAUAGUAAAAAUUCAAUCAUCAAAUUGAAUUUUAUCUUAUGCAGAUUUACCCUAUUAGUGAAUAUAAGAAUAAAACUUAAAGGGAAAUGCCUUUUUGAAAAUGAAAAAGUUUAUAUGGAGCCGAUGCUUUAAACAAUCAAAUAAAAACCUACCUCCAAAAUUUCACUAAAAGAGGUUGUCUUGAUGCCCAAAUAUCCUUGAAUUAAUCAUCUUGAUAUCAAGAUGCAUGGACAUGAGAAAAAAAUAGAUUUCAAGUUUUGGAAAUAAUAUAUUUUGUAAUGUAUUUUUUUACCGUCAAUUUUCAAGAUUUUCAAGUUUUCAUAGAUCUGUCUAUCUACACUAUUUUUUAAGCUUUAAACUUUAUAAAUAAAUAUAAAAAUAUAUUUUAAGGCUAUCACAAAUAUUUCCAGUAUUGAAACCACAUUUCUCGACACUAUAUUUGAAGGUAGGCUCUAAAAUGAUUGUUUAGAGCCUAGGCUAUAUACAAACAACACCCCUAUUGAAAAAAAGGAAAAUUGUUUCAUGCGGGUUGGACUGCAUUUCUACAUAUGCGAUCCAAAAAGUGUAAAGCAUACAUCUUAAAGAUGGAUGCAAAUAGGCAGUUCAUCUAAAAACAAUAGAAACUAACGGUCCAAAUGUUUUAUUUCUAAAAUUGUCAUUUUUCGUUUUUAAAAUUUAUUUAUUUAUUCAUAUUCAUGAUCUCCAUGUUAGAUAUUAUAUGUCUUUAAAAAUUGAAUCUUAAAAUCCAUCUAAAAAUAGAUUUAUUAAGAAGCCCACAUUUCUAUGUAUGCGGGCUUGGCCGCAUAGAAACUAGGUCCUUGCAAAAGGGAAAGGUGCACUUGGGAAAAUUGUAGGUCUGGUGUCAAAAAAACCUUCAAACCAAUCAACUCGACCUUAACCAUUGUGGUUGUGAAAUAAAUUAGAAUUCUGAGCCCUAAAAAUAAUGCAAUUGUAGUAAAUUACUUGGACAAACAUUUUUAAGUUUCACAAAUCUACAACAUCUGUAUUAUUUAUUGAGCUACAAAUCUCGAUGGUAGACCUUGAUUUUAGAGCCAUUUGAGAGAUUUUCCAUGCCUAAAAUAUUUUAAAAAUGAGGUUUGCAAGUAAAGCUUUAUUUUUAUAUGAUUCACAUAAGGGUGUGGGUUGUAUAGGGCCGAGGCCCCAGAUAAUUAACAUAAGGCACAUCAUUAAAUAAUGUGGGAAUAUAUUUUUCAGUGCUUGAAAUCUUUGUGUGGUUUGAAACUUUAUUUUUAUUUCUGAUUAUAAAAUUUAAAGCUUAAAAAAGUGGAUGUGGUUUGUAUAGAGCCUAUGCUCUAAACAAUCAAAUUAGAGCCUAUUUUCAAUUAGUGUCUAGAAAUAUGGUUUCAAAACUGGAAAUCUUUUUGAUAGCUUUAAAAUAUAUUUUCAUUUUUAUUUAUAAAGUUUAAAUAUUCAAAAGUGUAGAUCGAGAGAUCUAUGAAAACUUAAAAAUCUUGAAAAUGGACGGUCUAAAAGUGUGUUAUAAAAUACACUAUUUUCAAAACUUGAAAUCUAUUUUUUUCUUAUGUCCACUCAUCUUGAUGUCGAGAUGAUGAAUGUGAGGAUAUUUGUAAAUCAAAAAGACAUUUUCUAGUGAAAUUUUUGAGGUAAGGUCGAAUUUGAUUGUUUAGAGCCUCGACUCUAUAUAAACAUUUCUUUAAAAAAAAUAGUGUAGAUCAAGUAGAUCUAUGAACACUUAAAAAAAUAUUAAAAAUUGACGGUCUAAAAAUAUAAUACAAGAUAGACUAUUUUUAAUAUCGAAAAUCCAUUUUUUUCGCAUGUCCAUACAUCAUGAGGUGUAGAUGAUCGAUUUGAGGAUUUUUUUAGCAUCGAAAUAACUUUUUCUAACGAAUUUUUGAUUGCACCUUAAUUUAAUUGUUUAGGGCCUUGCCCGUAUAUAAACUUUUUGCAACUUAAAAUCAGGGCGAGUUGGCGUUAGUGAGGAUAGUAUUGAGAAAUAGUAAAUGUCCUAGGGUGUUGUAGUAAUUUUUCGGACACAUUGAUUCUUCCAUCGAAAGCCGGAAAGCAUGGGCAGCGACAGUUCCACUAUUUUUAAUCACUUUGUCUCUUUCUCUCACUAAAUAUAUCUCUCCUUUCUCUCUCUAAGUCGACCUUUUUCUUUCUAAAAGUGGUCCUGUCUGAAACUUAUUUUCUCUCUCUUACUGAAACCCCACCUUAAACCCUCUCUCUCUCUAUCUAUCAAACACUGCACACUUACUCUCUCUAACUGUCUCUUAACCUGCAAGGGAGCCAACUGCCUCUCUAGGGCAGAUGAACUUUCUCUCUCUAAAUUCUCCAUCCAUAACUUACCUUAUCUCUCUUAUUUAAACCCCACCUACACUCUUGAUCUCUCACUAACACCCCUCACUUUCUCUCUCUAAAUCUCCCUUAAUCUAUAAGGGAGCUACCUGCCAAUCUCUCUCUCUCUCUCUAUCUCCAUGUCCUGGGCAGAUUUGUGGAUCCUUAAGCUGCAAUUUUUUGCAGGCAUUUCUUGAUUUCAAGGACUUUCAUUCUUCUCAUUGUGAAACCACAGCUAUCAGUUACAGUAGCAUCAUUUUCUCUCUCUUUAGUGCUGUGUUGGGACCUUUCACUCCCCUGAAGCUUCAAAACCUGCCUUAAAGCCCCAUUGCUAGGAGUAAUAGUAGGCGCUUUCUCUCUCUAGAUGUCCGAUGCUAUAAGCGGGGUGCCAUGGCUCCCUUCAGGGAGAUAAUUCUUGAGUUCAAGGUGUUCACGCUAUAGUGCUUUCAGUUACACUGCACCCUUUCUCUCUCUCUCUCUCUUCUCUCUCUAACUUUCCUUUGAGCUUUAGGGUUGGAAUUGCACCGAAUCAGUGAGCCUUUAGGGUAAAAUGGGGGGUCCUUUAGGGGCAAUAAUAGGGAGGUAUCCUACAGCUGGAGCUCACUCUAAUGGUGAUCCCCAGCUUGGUGGUAUCAUAAGGCAUAAUAGGAAAUGCAGGGAUUUGGUGUUCCUGAUCAUCUUCAUUGCUUUCUGGGUAGCCAUGAUCGUGAAUUCGAGCUUCGGGUUUAACCAGGGCAACCCGCUAAGGUAAUGGUGCCUUUAUUUUAUUGGUGUUCAACAGUUGGUUGGCAGAGAUAGAAGGAAAGCUUAGCAAAAAAAUUACUGGUCCUUGAAACCUUACUUGGGUGUUUGUUUUAGUACCGUUUUAUUCUUCACUGUUUAGUUUUGUAUCUCAGAAUGAUUGUUUAGACAUAGUGUGUAAUGAGAUCCCUAUCCUUUGAUGAGUUUCUUUUACUUUUUACCAAUAUUGGCUGUGUUAUUUUUUGUCAAUUUUGUGGGUUGUUUGUUUCAUAUAUAUAUUUGUUUGGGAUUAUUUUUCCAAUCCAUUAUACAGGUUAAUGUUCAGAUCAAGCUUUCAAUUGUUGGUUCUUUUCAUUUUAUUAUGAAAGAUUUGGGUUUUGGGAAAUGAGUGGUUUGGUUGAUUAUUUAUGACUGGUUUUGUUUUGAGAUAUUUGCUGGAAUGAGCUGAGGAUUUGCAUAUUUACUAAAAUGAAGUGUUUUGAUUUGAUGCUAUAAAAAAAAAAAAGAAAAAAAAGGAGGGGAAAGGAAAGAGCAGAAAUUAGUUAAUGCAUAUGCCUAAUGAUUUUAGUGAGAUAGCUAUUUUUCAGUCUCUUUCUCUCUCACACACACAGAGUGAAUGUCAUAUCCCCACCUCUCUCUCUCUCCUNNNNNNNNNNNNNNNNNNNNNNNNNNNNNNNNUACUACGUCCUUACUCUACUCUACUCUACUCUCUCUACUUCUACUCUCUACUCUACUCUCUCUCUCUCUCUCUCUCUCUCUCUCUCUCUCUCUCUCUCUCUCUCUCUCUCUCUCUCUCUCUCUCUCUCUCUCUCUCUCUCUCUCUCUGUCUGAUGCACACAUGGAUACUCUCCCACACUCAGAGUGGUUAUUGAUUUUAGCGAGAGCUAUUUUACAGUGUAUCAUUCUCUCAAUAAAUUCCUAUUUUCCCCCUCUUCUGACAAGCGGGUUCGUCUCUCUCUCUCUCUCUCUCUCUCUCACACACACACACACACACACACACACACACCCCCACAACCAACAGAUGUUACAGGCAUGUAUUACCUUCCAUUUCUCCGUGGCUAAAACACUCCUAGUCUUUGAAUUGCUUAUUUUUCUUGUCUUAUUUCUACAUUCUCCUUGGAGUAGUGAGGGAGUAUAACCAUGUCAUGAACAAAACACCAUCUGGGCCUAUUGUUUUAUGGUUUCUAAACUUUUUUCUCGAGGAUAGCCAGUUAAUAAAUACUUUCUCAAUCAAUGGUUUAUUCAUGUUUGAUUUGGUGUUAUACUUUCUUCUUGGUCUUUACUUAUUUUUGUCAUUUAGAAAUCUAAGUUUUGUGCCAUUUCACUCUUUUGGUUUGGAUAUUUUUUGGGUUCUUUUCUGUCCUUGUUUGGUCUUAUGUUUCAGCGGGACGUGCCUAUAAUUAUUGAGUUUAACGGCUGUUUUUCAUUUGUGAAUUCACAUGUUGGAGGAUAAUUUAUUGAAUUACAUUGAAUUUUUUGGACCUCUUUCUCUUUCUGUUUCUCAAUUUAUUUUACCUUGUUUGAGGGGUCUAUUGUUUUUCUUGCUUAUUAUGAUAUUGUUUUUCCUUUUUGGAUUAUAUUGGACUGCCAUUUUGCGUAAGGCUUGCAUGAUGAUGACGGUGAUUGAACUGCCAUUUUGCUUCUCAGGCUCACAUAUGGGCUGGAUUACAAAGGGAAUGUUUGUGGCAACAAGCAUGCAGACCCUGAUCUCCGUGAACUAGAGGUGAGAUAUUGGCUAAACCCAAACCAGGUAUACCAAAGUGGGCUUCGUAAAAGCCAGUUCAAAUUGGGUGAUGCAAGGAGCAUAUGCUUGAUGGAGUGCCCCAGUCCUUCUGAAGAUAUUCUCAAUUGGGUUUGUGAUUACCCUGAGGGAGAUAUCCACCUCUCCAUGGAUGAAUGGAUUGAUAGGAACUAUGAUUACUUUGAGUUUCUCACUCAACCUAUGAGGAACAGUUCCCUUGCGCUUCAAGGCCCUUGCUACCCUAUCAUAUUUCCUAGCAUAAAUGGUAAGUUGGAAAUGAAAUGUGGGUAGUUCAGUUACUAGUGGAUCUAUACUUUCUAAGGGUAGUUCAGUUACUAUUGGUAAGGUCAAAAUGAACUAUUUAUACUAAUGGAUGACUUGAAUUUAUGCAACUUUUAUUUGUGAGUUAGCCUGGGUAAAAACUGUUAGUUAGUAUUAUUAUUCUGUCGUUGUUGUUACUUAUAAUUGGUUGUCAUUAUAACUAUCAAUUAGAAAAAAGUUUAUUCUUCAUGUGCUUUAUGAGUUAAUCUAUAAAAAAGUUUCGUGCAUGAGAUUGAUGGCCUACAUUAUCAUUAUAUUUUUAUUUUAUGUUCAUCUUGUAAGACGCAUUUAAAUAUUCAAUUCUUUAUGCUUUUGAAAGAGAUCCAUGGCCUUUUAUGUUGCUUUAGCUUCCCUAUAAGUGUUGCUUUGUUGUUCCCGAUAACAAUGAAUUUUUGCUCUCGAUAUUGUCCAGUUUACUGGAGCUGCCAGUUUAUUGCGCAUGCAUCUAAUGCAUCCUUGAAUCACUGGAGGCAGAUGGGUGGGGUUAAUAUCAAUGAAAAUGGUGUAUUGGAAAAAUCUGUCCACAAUGGCAUCAAUUCCCCAUCUGCUGUUUUAAAGGUUUGCUUUCAUUCACUUGAGUUUGAUACUCAGGAAUUAGGAUUCUGUUUUCUAUAAUAAAUAGUUUGGGACAUAGGCAACAGUGACAUGCAUGUCGCGUUUGGGAGUGUCCGACCAUUGCAUGAGACGUGUGUUGACUUGCAUAAGACACGGGCAAUCUGUUUUGAUGUAUGUAUUUGGAAAUUUUUAAUUUUUUGGAUUCAUAGAAGCAACUUGUCUGCUUUGUAGACACGUGUCCCCAUAUUGUGCAAGCAAGGCAUGCGUGUCUGUGUCUCACCGUGUCUGUUUCGUGAUACACGUGUCUGUUUUGUAAGAUACAUGGUUCUUUAUUUUACCCACCUUUUUCUUUAAGUUAUAUCUAUCACUAAAGGGUCACAAAUUGAUUUAUUUAUAAAUACAUAUGGUUACACAUGUGUUGUAUGGACCUGUAUGAAUGUGUUCUACUAAACUUGGGAAAAUAUAGGUGGGUGAUUCGGUCCAAAUCUGACGUGGAUUCUCAUAUAUGUGUCAUGGUAACAUACAUUCGGACAGCAUGGUUAAGUACUCUCUAAUAAACUUGCCUGGUUUUACGAAGCAUGCUAUGAAUAUUGUACUUGUAUGAUAUGCUUGUCCAUUGCAUAUAUUUGGGUAUUGGUUUUUCAUAAAGUGGAGGGAACCUAAAAGUAGUCAAAAGAACUAAAGAAAUAAUUUCUGGAAAAAAAUGUUGGCUGUCAUGUGAAAUUUGGAAUCUUUAAUUGGAUGUGUUACAAACUCAUCCAUUUUCAUUCUUGAUGUGAAUUCCCAAUUUCGCAAUAAUCUCCUUGUUCUAUUUGUUUAGUUUUUAACAUUUAUACUCGACUUUAUAUGUUAUGUUACUUGUAUAUUUGUACUUGUGUGAAUUUGAAAAGAACUGCAUGUUAUAGUUGGGAUUAGGUCAGUUGGGGUAUCUAGCAUAAUGUCACAAGGUUCAGAUCUCCUACUAGACCUACCAUAGCAACAUAAAAAAAAAAGAGAGAGAAGAAAAUGAAUUCUCUUUAUAAAAAGUAAGAAUCUAGCAAUUAAUUCGUAAAUCUUGGAACUGGAGAACUAAUCAGUUGAGAUUCUCUCUUUCACAUUUAAGAAGUCAAUCCAUAUUUGUGUGACUUGGAACAGAGGAGAACAGUCUUUUAGAAGCAGUGUGAUGGGACUCAGCCAAGUCCACUCAGACUAGGCUGAAUUACUUGGCCUUGCCCAUAGACGAGGCCAAGUCCCCCCGAGUUGUGUGUACAACUUGGGGCAUAUAAAAAAAAUUUCAAAAAAAAUAAAAAAUGAGGAAAUGUUAUACAAACUUUUUUUUAUAUGAUUUAGAUGUAUGUGGAAAAGAUUGGUGAGUGUUUUUUUCCAUAAUCAUUAUUGCUAUAUUUUCCUUUUUUUUGAAGUUUUUAAAAAUAUCCCAAACUGUAAAAUUGUUUUUUAAUCCAUUUUUCUACUUUUUUUAACUUCUUUUUUUUCUUUUUUUUUAACCUUUCUAAGUUGUUUUAGGUUUCAUUUUUUUUUUUUUUUUUUUGGGAAUAGGUUUCAUUUCCUUUUUAGUACGUUUCUUAUAUUUUUUCACAUUUUUCCCCCUAAUGGCCGAGGCGAAUCCCGGCACAUUGUUUAUAAGUUUAGGUAUGCAAUUUUGUGAAGAAUUUGGAAUAUCUGGAAGUUAUUUUCUACUUUGGCAGCUGCAAUUUGAACAAGUGCUCAUGUUUUUCAUUUUCCUCGCAAUUUUGCUAAUUGAUAACCUCACUCUUUCAUUCUAACCUUUCAAUGUUUACAUCCUCUUAUGGAAGCUCAUAUAGAACUUUACCUCGAUUCAUGUCUAUCUUUUCAUUGUUUACAGAGGUAUGUAGCUGAUAUUGGAAAGGCUUGGCCAGUGUUGAUUGUUUGUGGUGCAAUGGUGCCACUCUUUCUGUCAGUGAUUUGGUUGUUAAUGAUUCGCCAUUUUGUUGGAGCAAUGACUUGGAUUACGGUUGUUCUCUUUAAUGUUCUCAUAAUAACUGUAACAAUGUUCUUCUAUGCAAAAGGUCAGAAUUCUUUGACUUUCACUGAAAUAUUUUUUAUUUUUUAUGCCUUUAAAAUUAAUUACGUUGCAUGUACUACUUGUACACAUGCACACAUAGUAUUUUCUUCCCCUUCACUUCUUCCACACUUGCAUGCAUCUGGUGAAAAUGUUUGUUUAUCCUAAAUUCCUUCAUUUUAUGAAAUUGGCUAGUCAGUGGAUACUAUUUAUAGUUUUGAAUAUUUUCUUCUUGAAAAGCGAUAGAGCCUUUUUAAUAUUACAUCUUUAAUUCUCAAUAAUAGCCCACUUGAUACCGAACCAUCAAGAAUGUUUGUAUCAAAGGUAAGAGCUGCUUCUUCAUGGACUUGUUUGGUGAUGAAAUGCAAUAGUAGAUGUGUAAAGUAUGUCUUGCCUGGACACUAGUUGUACAAAAUAAGCUAUGAGAAGUUCCAUAUUAGAAUGAACGAAAAUGUGAAACCUAGAGAUAGUUUAUUUGAUGAAUAUUUUGUUGUUGAAUAUAUAAUGUCUACCUAUUAAACAAAACUAAAUGAAGCCAGUAGGUAUAAGAUAACCUAUUUUAGUUUGGGUGUGGUUUGUAUGAGGCUGAGGCCGUUAACCAAUCAAAGUAAGGCGCACCUUCAAAUAGUGCUGAAAUAUGUUGUUUCAGUAUCAAUUAUAAGAUUUAAAUAUUAAAAAAUAGUGUAGAUUGAGCAGAUUUAUGAACACUUGAAAAUCUUGAAAAUUGAUGGUCUAGAUAAUGCAUUCCAAGACUUGAAAUCUAACUUUUGUUAUCUCCAUACAUCUUUAGGUUGAGAUGAUCGAAUUGAGGAUUUUUCAGCAUCAAAAUAACCUCUUCUUAUGAAUUUUUGUGGGGAGCCUUAAUUUGAUUGUUUAGGGCCUCACCCUUAUAUAAACUUUUUCCUCUAGUUUUGUUCUUUUCCUGGUAAUGCAAGGAGUCAAGUAGAGUGGAGUGUUAUUGAUAACAAGUAUUGCGGUGUUGACAUUUGCCUCAGUGUUGAAGACAUUGAGGAGGGUGGUCUCAAGCUAGUGCUAUUUUCUUUGUAUUACUUGUUUUGGGACAGCCAAUCUUGUACAGGUGAAAUGAUGUUCUGAAAUUGUUGAUUGUGAUAUAAAUGAUACUGAUAUGCAUGAAAGGCUCAUGGUCAAACUUUAGUGGCAGAAUUUACUCUCCUUUACUUUUCUGGUAGUAGAUUGAAAUAACUGUCACCAUUACUGUUUGGGAGCAUAAUGAAUGUUAGAGAGUGAUAGUUUUCUGCCAACUUGUGUGCUUGUAGCUGGGUGGAUUGGGCAUGAUGCUGUCUCUGGUAUCAUUGGGGAAAGUGAUCCGUACUUCAGUGUAACUGGAAGGGUGGGUUUAUAACUGACUAACACUAUGUUUUAUAUGAUAAGUUCUCAACUUAUGUUAAAUUUUACUUGCUAAAUAAAAACUUGUCAUGUUAUGUUCAGGAGCUAAAUCAUCUUCGAGCUGUUGCUAUUCUUAUGACACUAAUUAUGGUCAUCACCGUUCUUUCCACAAUUGCUAUUGUUAGGCGUAUUCUUAUUGCAACAUCUGUUUUAAAGGUAAGCUUGAUCGGCUCUGAUUUUAGCCUUAAUGAAACAUAGGAGUUCUCAAUUCGUUUCAAAAGCUACUUUUUUGCCAUUCUUUCCAAUAAUUUCUCUAUAAAAAAUUGAUAGAGGGCGUAGAAGAUGUAGGACCAACCACCUUCCAUUAUGUCAUUAACAGCGAUGUGCCAAUGCACUGGGAUUUUCCAUAGUCCAUGUUAUAGUGUAUGUCUCAUUUAAAAUCUUGGAGGGAUGCAUUUGUAGUAGAGCCUAUGCUCCAUUUAAUGCAUUUUAUUUGCUACAUAACUAUUCCCUUCUUUAUGCAGGUUGCAGCCAAGGUCAUUGGCGAAGUCCAGGCUCUCAUUAUAUUCCCAUUUUUUCCAUAUACAAUUCUUCUAAUCUUUAUUAUGUUCUGGUUUUCUGCUGCACUUCAUCUAUUCAGCUCUGGUCAAGUACAAAGGAAUGAUUGCAAUGGGGAAUGCUGCGCCUUUGACCUCAAGGCAAACAAGGUUAACUGUGACAAUUGCUGCGGUUACAGCAUUCACUACACUCCUCAUAUUGCAGUAGCUAUUCUCUUCCACCUCUUUGGGUGUUACUGGGCUACUCAGUUCAUAAUCGCAUGCUCAGGCACUGUUAUUGCUGGUUCAGUUGCUUCAUAUUAUUGGGCUCGUGGGGAGACAUCGGUAAGCCUUCUGGAAAUUGGACUCUAACUGAAGCUACAGAUAUGCACGAUUAGGUAUAUGUACCAGUGCGUAAAGGGAAAAUAUAGUAAUCCAUUAACUAUGGACCCAUUGGGGCGAUGACCUUUGAAUGAAAUGACAGAUGGUGAUGGAAGUCUAAACCUCUAUUGCAUCACGUUCGUUUUUUGAUGGAUCCCCUUCUUGCCAUCCAUUUGAUGGUGAUGACGCAAUGGAGUAUACCAUAGUCCCUUGGUUAUUUUACUUUGCAAUGGGAAAAAUUGAAACUUCACUAUAAGGGUUGCAAUGUUGCAUAGUGUAGGUGAAACCAAAUUGCUUGGACGAGCUCCAGACCACUAGGCUUCACAUUUGAUUGCCUAAUGGAAAAUUAUUACUUCCAAACUAAUUUUCCAUUCUGAGAAUAGUGUUCAGGUUAUUUUAGUUUCUUUUUUUUUAUAUAAUUUUGAGAAUAGUUGUAUGUAAUUGACCAGUUAAGAGGUAUAAAACUCCAAUAGUGUUUUGUUAGAACGGGACUGCAAAACAUGUGGAGAAAAUGUGUACUUGGUUCUAUUAAUGACAAGGGAUUUUCUUCUAUUUUGAAAUGAGGAGGGUUGCCUUUCAAUUUUCCCUUCAAAAAUUCUUACUGCAUUUCCUGUUGAGUUUAAAGAAAUUGACUUAUUUGAAUUUUAUAUUAAUGCAGCAAGAGAUCCCAUUCCUUCCUGUGUUUUCAUCGAUGAAGCGUCUCAUUCGCUAUAGCCUUGGCUCCAUAGCUCUCGGUUCACUUGUUGUCUCCAUUGUUGAGUCAGUUCGUUACAUACUUGAGUUCAUCCGCCGCCGGUUGAAGCACACUGACUCUGCAUCAAGUGGCAUCAUGGGUAGAAUGAUGUCUUGUUUGUCUAAUUGCUGCCUCAGUUGUAUUGAGUGGACCACUAAAUCAGUGAACCGCAAUGCAUACAUUAUGGUGAGAACACACACAGUCUCUCUCUCUCUCUCUCUCUCUCGCCACCCACCCUCCCUCCCCCCUUCUUCCCUCAUUCUCCUUCUCUUUGCAUGGAAAAGAAGUAGUUUGUGCAAGUAAUUGCAGCAAAGUGGUGAAUAACAGGUGACCCAUGUGGUCAUGCAUGUCUGGUCCUUUGGGUGAAUUUAGUUUUGAUUUUCCUUUUGUGAUGCUAUUAAUGUAAUAAUUUUUAUGUUUUCCUUGCAAUAAUUCCUAUUGCCAAGUUAGCAACAAAAAAAAUACUAAUCCUGCAACUAAUGUUGAAUUUUGGCUUUGUUUAAUUACUUGCAACUCAUGCUUGUUGCGGUUCUACCAUCAUGCUUUUUUGUCUCCUAUUCUUUUGUCACUUUUUGCUGAGAAAAUCCCUAUACUGAGAUUUUUCCUUAAUCCGUUGGAACAUGUAAUGCAUUACUCCAAAGAGCAUUCGCCAUCCCUUCCUGAUGAUGGAUAGUGGUGAUUAAUCAUACUAGGGCCCUCCCGGAUACUCUCUCAAGUGUAGUUAAUCUCCAGGAUAGUGACUUGCCUAUGUAGUACCACAUACAAUAUUCCUUUCGUUUGUUCUAUAGAUUCCUUCUCUAUAUUCUCUUCUCUAUAAUGUCUUUUGUAAUUUUCUCUUUCUUUUUCUAUGGGUGGUUCAGAUUGCCAUCACAGGGAAAAGUUUUUGCAAAGCAUCUGAAAUAGCAACUGGCUUGAUACUAAACAACAUACUUCGCAUUGGCAAAGUGAAUGUCAUUGGUGAUGUCAUCCUCUUUCUCGGAAAGUUGUGCGUGAGCUUGGCAUGUGCGGUGUUUGCAUUCCUCAUGUUGCAUACUCACAAGUACAAAGAUGCACAUAACAAAAUCUCCUCACCUCUUCUCCCUGUUCUGGUAAGCUUCGAUCAUUUGUUUGUUCAUCGCAGAAGUUAUAUGGCAUGAAUUGGUCUGAGCAUGGAACACCCUGAACUUCAAGACUGCAAAUUCUAUGCUGCAUAAUAUGCAUACAUUACAUGUUUAGGGUGUGGUUUGUAUAAGGUGUCAACCUUAAACAAUAAAGUGAGGUGUACAUCCAAACGUUGUCGAAAGUUGCAGUUUCGAUGCAAGAAAUUUUUACGAUGGCCUGGACAUCUAUUUCCACCACUAAUAAUGAAAUUUAAUGUUUGAAAACUGGUGUGAAUCGAGCAUAUCUAUAAACACUUGAAAAUAUAAAAAAUAGACGGUCCAAAUAUGCUACAAGCUACACUAUUUUUAGGACUUAAAAUCUAUUUUUUUAAUUAAUGUUUAUACAUUUUGAACUGAAUAUGAUAAAUUGGUGGGAUUCUUGGCAUUGGAACGACCUUUUCCGAGGGGUUUUUGAGUUGCGCUUUACUUCUAAAGUAUAAGGGAUGAUCUACAAUUUAAAACCCUUCAAAAUACAAAAGUUAAUAUUAAAAUGAGUUGUGAAGGUGAAAUUACUGCCUAUGUUGUUUCUAUGUUUAAACAAAAUUAUUUCUUGUAGUAUUUUGUGCAUCAAGUGAAAGUUAUAUAUGUAAAUAUCAUUAAAGAUAAAAUGAACUUUUGUCAUAUUCACGAGGGGUAAAGUUGAAAUUUUUACUUAAAAACAAAGGUAUUAUACUAAUAAUGUUUCAGGAUACUAACUUUCUAAAUACCAUUGUACUUUUAUGGAAUUUUAAAUUUACCCUUAAUGAUUAAGUUACCUAUUGAAAUAAGUUUUUAAAACAAAAAAUUAUAGUACACCUAUCUUAACGCAUUCUAACAUUAAUUUUUGUAUUUUGAGGGGUUUUUAACUAUANNNNNNNNNNNNNNNNNNNNNNNNNNNNNNNNNNNNNNNNNNNNNNNNNNNNNNNNNNNNNNNNNNNNNNNNNNNNNNNNNNNNNNNNNNNNNNNNNNNNNNNNNNNNNNNNNNNNNNNNNNNNNNNNNNNNNNNNNNNNNNNNNNNNNNNNNNNNNNNNNNNNNNNNNNNNNNNNNNNNNNNNNNNNNNNNNNNNNNNNNNNNNNNNNNNNNNNNNNNNNNNNNNNNNNNNNNNNNNNNNNNNNNNNNNNNNNNNNNNNNNNNNNNNNNNNNNNNNNNNNNNNNNNNNNNNNNNNNNNNNNNNNNNNNNNNNNNNNNNNNNNNNNNNNNNNNNNNNNNNNNNNNNNNNNNNNNNNNNNNNNNNNNNNNNNNNNNNNNNNNNNNNNNNNNNNNNNNNNNNNNNNNNNNNNNNNNNNNNNNNNNNNNNNNNNNNNNNNNNNNNNNNNNNNNNNNNNNNNNNNNNNNNNNNNNNNNNNNNNNNNNNNNNNNNNNNNNNNNNNNNNNNNNNNNNNNNNNNNNNNNNNNNNNNNNNNNNNNNNNNNNNNNNNNNNNNNNNNNNNNNNNNNNNNNNNNNNNNNNNNNNNNNNNNNNNNNNNNNNNNNNNNNNNNNNNNNNNNNNNNNNNNNNNNNNNNNNNNNNNNNNNNNNNNNNNNNNNNNNNNNNNNNNNNNNNNNNNNNNNNNNNNNNNNNNNNNNNNNNNNNNNNNNNNNNNNNNNNNNNNNNNNNNNNNNNNNNNNNNNNNNNNNNNNNNNNNNNNNNNNNNNNNNNNNNNNNNNNNNNNNNNNNNNNNNNNNNNNNNNNNNNNNNNNNNNNNNNNNNNNNNNNNNNNNNNNNNNNNNNNNNNNNNNNNNNNNNNNNNNNNNNNNNNNUAUAUAUAUAUAUAUAUAUAUAUAUGGAGAGAGAGAAAGAGAGAGAGAGAGAGAGGUAUCAUUCUUUUGGGUAGUAAGCCGGGAUUCAGAUCUUGAACGUUAGUGUUGACUGUGUUGUGGCCUUGAUCCCUCUUGAUUCCUAGCAAGGAGGGUCUAAUCUCAUGCAUGCAUAAGCUAUUGACAGAAAGAACCCUUAAGGGGCUCGCGUACAUGCAUGCAUGUGUAUGCGUGCGACUGCAUGUGUGUGUGUGUUUUGAGACAAGAAGCUCAUAUGGGGUUCAAAACUUCAAACUACUUGUAAUAUGCAUGUGGAUGGAUAUGUACGCUUUUAUGCAAUGCAUGGAUACGGUUGUAGGUAUGACGGGAAUAGGUGCAUCCUUGCUGAAUGUGUCUUCGUUGGAGAAGAGAGAGAGAGAGAGAGAGAGAGUGAGUGAGAGAGAGGGGCUGUAGGUAUGAUGGAGUAGGUUCAUCUUUGCUGUUUGUCUUUGUUGAAGAGAGAGAGAGAGAGGGGGUAUGUGUACUUAUGCAUACGUGAGAUAGAGGUAUGUAUAUGUACCUAUGCGUAUGUUAUCUUCAGUUUAUGCGUUUGAGGCUUAUGGAUUUGAAGCCUCACAAUGCAUAUAUGCAUCUGUAUGGGAUCUUAAGCAUGUGCUUAUCAUGUGUAGGUAUGUUGGGGCCUCGGCUACAUCGUUGCUUCUCUUUUCUUCGCAGUUGUGGAAAUGGCAAUCGACACCAUUAUCCUCUCAUUUUGCCAGGAUGCAGAGGAGCAUCAAGGAAAUGCCCAGUAUGCUCCACCACUGCUCAUUGAAACCCUAAAUAACCAAAGUGAAAUGCAAAGACUCACACAAUGACCCUUUAUUUCUAUAAAGACCACUACCCAUUUUGCAUCUGCUUUACUGGAGGGUUUGAGUUUCAGUAAAGAGCUCUCAAGCUAUGGCUUCUGUCCCCUUUUUUUUUUUUUCACAAAGGCUUCUUUAUCUUUAUCUCUGUCUGUAUCUUUUUCUGUUUGUAAGUGAAGAUUGAAUAGGGAGGAAAUGCAAUUCAUUUAGGAAAGAGUAGCACACCAGAAGAGAUGGUAAUCCCUCCUUUGUGCUUUAUUUUACCUGUACAGUUGUUUGUUGGAGCCUGAUAUAACUAUGGAUUCUGAUAGGGCUUUCUCAAUGGAUUCUCGCUUUAUAUAAGUGAACUAAUAGACCUCUAAAGAUGAUCUCUAAUAGAGCUUUAAAAGUAAUCUUCAGAGUUUCUGUCCUUCAUUUCCUAUACCUAUUGGAACAAGAUUCAGUUUGGUUUUUUGUGAUAUUUAAUUGAUUGAAAUCUCUACAAACAUCAUAUAAUAGGCGUUCAUAAUGUCAUAUAUUUUCUUGGGGUCUAAUAAGGGAUAGGAUCUUAAACUUUCUUUGAACCCAUCCCAAGCUUAGGUAAAGAGGUGGGUUGGGUUAGGUAGGCAACCCAUGUAAAGCAUUGCUACAUCUUAUUAUGAAUCAUGAAUUUAUGGUAAAGAAAAAUUAAAAGAUAAGAUUUAUGUAGCCAACCCCAAAUCAUGGGGAUCAGGCUUGUCGGAUGAUAAUGAAUGUCAUAUAUUUAAUUUUUGCACAUUCUAGUUAUAGAUAUGCUACUACCAUUGGGUGACAUUUCAUUGAUGAAGAGCUUUUCAUGUGACUUUGGAGACAUCUAUUUUGAACAAGGUCAUAUAAUUAAUAACUCAACAAUAAUGUCACAUAUUAAUUAUCUAUUGAUAAAUGUAAUUAAUAAUAAUUUGUGAUGUUAUAUGCAACUUUCAUUUGAUUAGAUGUUUAUGGCUCUCUUGAUCUAGUAAAUUAUAUAUAGAGAUGCAUGGGUAUCCUUGUCAUGAAACUGUUGAGGACAACAAAAAAGGAGAUCGAUUGUAAGCUAUGUAUUGAUUGGGGACUAUUUUUUGUUGUAGCCUUGAUUUUAAUUUUUACUUGCCAGCUAAUUUAGUCAUAGAUCUUAUUUUGGUUGGUUGUUAUUUGAUAAUACUUUUGUUAUCCAAGUGCCGAAUGGACUUUGGAUCUUGGAUGUUUUUAUUUAGUGUAUGGUUUUUAUAAGGUUGCAAUCUUAAACAAUCUAAUUAAAAUGCAUCUCUAAAUUUUAUAAAUGUAAUUUUAAUAUAAAAUUUUUUUAAGAUGAUUUGAAAAUCUAUUUUCAUCUCAAAUUAUAAAAUUUUAAACUCUAAAAAUAAUUCCAGUCAGGUAGAUCUAUAAAAUCUUGAAAAUGGACGGUUAAGAUAAUGUAUUGCAGAUAUUAUUUUGCAGAUUUGAAUUUUUUAUUUUUUUUUAUAUUCAUACAUUUUGAUGUUGAGAUGCUCAAUUAGACGGUUUUUGUAACUGUAAAGCAAUUUUUUAUGAUGGAUUUUUGAGGUGCGUCUUUAAUUCUGUAUUUUAAGAUUGUAACAUUAUAUAAACUUUUUCCUGUAUUAUAAUGAGCCCUUUUGACAUCUCAUCUGCAGUUCUCGAUAUGCGCGCACGUAUAAAAAGAGCUGAUAUUUGAAUCAGAAAAAGAAUGAACCUCCCUAUUCGAAAGAACCCUUGUUCUUCUGGAACCAUGUGUCACCAAUAUUUUUAAGCAAUACGUGUUCAUAUUUUGAUCGUUCGAUUCAAUCAAUAAGGGGAGGGAGAAGAUGAGGCGUAUAUAACAAAUGAGCAACAUAUGUAGCAAGAACAGAAAUACACCACAAUGACACAAUAUUUUAUGUAAUAAUAAAAAAUUACAAAAAUUUAUGUGAUUCCUCAAAGUUGGGUUAAUUGUAGAUUUUAACCCAGAAAUAAUAUUUUAUGUAAUAAUAAAAAAUUACAAAAAUUUAUGUGACUUCUCAAAGUUGGGUUAAUUGUAUAUUUUAACCCAUAAAUACUAUUAAGGUUUUCAGUUACUGGUUUAAAAAAUGGAAUUAGUGCCGUGGAUCGGGCACUUCAAAAAUCCAUCCGGAUCGAUGAAUCGGCUAUCCAGAUCAGGAAUCGAUCGGAUUAAGCCUUAAAAAAAAUCCAAAAAAAAUUAUUAAAUUUCAUUCCCAAUGUUGUUUUUUAGGAAUCUAAUAAAAAAUAAGGAUACUACAUCAUUAACUUUCAUUUUUUUCAUCAACAUGCGAAUAUUGAGAUGUUCUUUCUCUGUAUGAACUUAUGUUAACUAUUAAAUUUACAUCACACAAAAUAAAAACCAUAGAAUUAUCAUGGAUGAAGUAUAUAAUCUUAUUAGACUACAAUAAAGAAUUGAUUAAAUCAAUAAAAAAAUGGCCACCAAAAUAUCAAAUAGAUAGAAAACCCCAAUUGCUAAAAAAAAAACCCAAAUUAUUACAACUUAACUAAUUAUAUUAAAAAAUUAUUACAACCUAACUAACUAUAGUAUUAUAUAUUGAAAUUGAAAUUGUUAUUUAAUAGUUUAUUUUAUUAUACAAAUAAUAACAAAUCUAAAAUAUCUCAUAACAUCAUCUAAUUUAAAAUAUAUUAUUAACAACUGGAAGAAAGAAUAAUACAUCAUAUAAUUUAUAAUGCAAAUAAAUUAAAAUAAAUAAAUAAAAGAUUUGGUUAUCAGUUAGUGUUAUUUUUCUCUCUUAAAAUAUCAUCUAAACUAAUAUUUUUUAAUAUUCAAUAAACGAGAAUUAGUAUUAUUUGUUGUUUUUUAAUAUCCUAUGAGCUGGUACUAAUUUUUAAUCUCAAUGAACUACUUAAUUAAUUGUUAAGCAUAUAAUGAAAUAAUCUCGUGAGAUAAUAGCCUAAUAGAAUUUUUAUGUUUUAUUUGGAUAGAUAAAUUUAGAUAUUUUUGGUCAAAGAUAGGGGUGAUGAGCACCCAAUUAUUAUUUAUGAUAUUUUUCCAUUUUUUUAUCAUAUAAUUUACUUACACUACCGAGUAGACUCGCCGUUUUGUAAAAUUUGAAGAACAUUCAUAUGCUAUAUAAAUUGUCUUUGGCGGCUAGUCUCAGCUCGUUGGCAGUUGGGUGAUGUUGUUGCUGCGGAGUUAUCGUUGUGAAUCUUACAACCCUGGAGUUGUUGCUGCGGAGUAAUCGGUUUACUUCUAAACACAAAUCCGAUCGAUCGAUCGAUCGCCGGCCGUUUACUUGUAGACACAAAUCGAUAUCGAUGUCUUCUAAUUGACGGAUUCCGUGCUGUUCACUGCUAGACACAUACUUCUAGUACUUCUAGACACAAAUCGUUCACUGCUAGACACAUACUUCUAAUACUUCUAGACACAAAUCGAUCACUGCUAGACACAUACUUCUAAUACUUUUAGACACAAAUUGAUCGAUCGGUAUCGACUCCGGUUCACUUCUAUUUACUUCUAGACACAAAUCGACUCCGGUUCACUUCCAGACACUAGACGCGACUCCGAUUCACUUCUAGACACUAGACACGAUUGACCGAUUGGUUCACUUCUACUUACUUCUAGACACAAAUCGACUCCAGUUCACUUCUACACACUAGACAUGACUCCGGUUCACUUCUCGACACAACUCCGGUCCACUUCUAGACACAACUCCGGUCCACUUCUAGACACAAACUAGAUACAAACCGACACAAACUAGACACAAAUCGACUCUAAGUCACUUCUAGACACAACUCCGGUUCACUUCUAGACACAUAUCGACUCUCGACACAUACUUCUAGACACAAAUCGACUCCGGUUCACUUCUAGACAGACACUAGACACGAAUUGACUGAUUUCGUGCUGACUUCGGUUCACUUCUAGACACAAAUCCGACCGACUCACACUUCUAGACACGAAUUAACACAAAUCAGCCCCAAUUCCGUGCCGACUCCGGUUCACUUCUAGACACAAAUCGACCGAUUCGCUUCUAGACACGAAUUGACUGAUUCCAUGCUGACUCUGGUUCACUUCUAAACACAAAUCAACUGAUUCCGACUCGGCGAUUUUUCGACCACUGGUUACAAGAGAUUGUCUUAGUCGGCGAUUUUUCAACCACUGGUUACAAGAGUAGACAUGAAUCGAGUCUUCUAGACAUGAAUCGACGGAUUGUCUUCUAGACAUGAAUCGAGUCUGCUAGACAUGAAUCCACGGAGAUUGUCUUAGUCGGUGAUUUUUCAACCAUUGGUUGCAAGAGAUUGUCUUCUAGACAUGAAUCGAGUCUUCUAGACAUGAAUCAACCUAUUCCGUGUCGACCAAGAGAUUAUCUUCUAGACAUGAAUCGAGUCGACCAAGAGAUUGUCUUCUAAACAUGAAUCGAGUCUUCUAAACAAUAAUUGACCUAUUUCGUAUCGACUCGGUGAUUUUUCAACCAUUGGUUAUAAGAGAUACCUAAAAAUAAGUAAAUUUAAAAAAUUAGAAAUAAUAAUUCUAAUAAAAAAACAUUCAAACAGUUAGUUUUCAUUGUUUUUUGAUGGAAUGGAUGGUUUGUACUUUUUAAACCGCAUAUGUAGGUAGUCACAAUUUUGCAUGUCAAAAUCCUCACUGAAUUUCUCUUCUAUUUUAAUCAAUCUCCCCCGACUAAAUAACGCUAUCGAUCAAUAUCCCACUUUACAUAACUAUUUGAAAAGACCGCGUUUUUUCUUUUUUAUUACGUGAAAAAGAAUCUCUCUUGACAUAACAACGCAACCAAUCAAUCUGGGUGGCAUGAAUGAUGAAGUGAAAAACUUGAGUAUAGUUAGCGAGUCUCCAAUUAGAACUACUUUUUGAAAAAUAUCUGUUUUUUUAUUAAAUUCCUCAAGAACUCUGAGUUUUUUUAAUGGAAUUGAUAUAAAUCUGCAUUUUAUCUUUUUUUCGAAAAAAAAUGUUUUAAAAAAAGUUUCUCCUAGGAUUAAUUUUAAGAGUCUUGAUUUAACAAAAAUUUCCAUCAAAAUUGUUCACCAACAAAUUCUCUUAAAAAUUGUGUUAAAAAAAUAAGAGUGGAUUCCUAGUAAAAAUACUCUCUCUCAAAACAAUUGUAUAUCUUCAAAUCAUAUGUAGAGUUAUAGAAAAAUUAACCUAAUGAGAUAAUUUUUCUCUAAACCAAGAGCAUCGAGGUUCAAUCACAACCAAAGAUUUAGGCAUUUGGUAAAGGAUAUGAAUUAAAUAUUUGGAUUUGCAUGCUCAUAUUGUUUAGUACAAGUAACCAUCAUCUCGCUUUUCUUUACUUUUCUUUUCUUUUUUGUAUACAGAAGUUUGAUUGAGUUAUCAUUUUUUUUUAUUUUUUAUUUUACUGGAGCAUACAAUGCAACUAUUUCGAGGAACCAUUCUUUCACAUUUUUGCAUUUUUGUUAAAUGAUGAGAGCCGUUGUAAUCUUUUCCCCUCCUAAAACAGUCCCGGUUAUUUGCUAGAGUAAUUUUUAUGUUUAGUAUUGUUGGUGUUGCUUCAUUGUAUGCUUCCAAUUAAUUCGUUGCAUGAUUUGUGUGCUGCAGUAGAGCAAGAAUCGUUGUUGCAUUUUGUAAAAAUUUAGACAAAGACUUAUCAAGUAUUACCUUCAAUGAUACCACAUUACAAUAUAAAAGUACUUUUCAAUGGCUUUAAUAUGUCCAAACAAUAAUUGCAAUUCAAAAUUUAUCUUAUGUCAUCACAUUUCUUAUGUUUUCAUUGUCAAAUCCGAAAUAUACCUAACCUUUGGCAAUAAGUAUUUUCACCCCAAUUUUUUACCUCCAACUUUUUGGAAGAAACCCCCCCCCACCCGACUUGCUAACUAUGAACUGGACAAACUUAACACUCGUAUAAAACUACGUUUCUGUGAAGUCAUGCUUCUCAUUACAAGUCUCUACCAAAACUACCCUUUCCUAUAAACUAUAGUAGGGUUAAGGGUGGUGACCGGUCCGGUCGGGUCGGGUUCGGUCGGGCCGGCUAGACUUGGACCCAGAUCCAAUCCAAAAACUAAAAUAUCUAUAUAUUCAUAAAGUGAGAAAUGUCAGACCCAAACCCGAACCUGGCUGGACACGGAUAUGAAUAGUGUCCAGUUCUAACUUUUGGACCCAUACUAGGACUCAGGUCAGGUCUGCGUCCAUUGCCACCCCCAGGUAGGGUGAGCCCAAAAUAUAUAGGUGUUUUAUCUCUUUGAUUCCUUAGUACGGAGAUUAUUAUUGCU
rnacentral:lncRNA from 1 species